UUGAAAAGAAGUAUAAGCACAGCUAGAACAAUCCAUGAAAAGCCAUACACCUACACGAAUAUCGAAUGACAACUUUUGAGUUCUCUUUUUAGGCUGUGAGCAAAUAGAAACUAACAGAGAAGCCAAACAGGAGAAUUAUAAAAGUAGCCAAUGACGCAGUAUUGUAUUCGGGCCUUGCUCAUGUAGGAGCUAACAGAAUGUUCCAUUAAAAGAAAGAAAUUAAAUUAAGGGUGGGAAAAACAAAACAAUAUGAAGUACGAUAGGUAAUCUGGAAGUCCAUUGCCAGUCUCAUGGAAAAUGCAGCAUGGAAAUAACAUCUAUAAGCAGAGUUGUUACCGAUAAUGAUGUAUCAUUUCCCUGUAUAUCUAGCUUGUACACAAUGCCGUACUGGAAAAUAAAGAAUCUUAGACUCAAAAUGGUCUCCAGUAUCCGCCCUCCCAAAGUCCGAAUAUGUGCCUGUAAAGAAAUUUUUUAAAACAAAUAACAUGAAACAAGUAAAUUGAUAAUAAGAACAAUAAGACAAAUAAACAAAGGAAAAAAAAAGAAUUACAUAGAUUAAAUGAAGAAAGGGUUUAGGUUUCCCUCAGGCUUGAAAAUGGGAGUUGCUGAGAACCUAUUUUCCAAUCCCACUAAGAUGACGAAUGAGAGUCUGCGAAGUUGGAAAGGACCAUACAUGACAAUUUAGCUCAAGCACUGAUGAGCUAUGAUACAUGACAAUUUAGCUCGCUAUUUAAAGGACCAUAUAUAGUAGAUUUUCCAAGUUGAACAAUGAGAGAAUUGCUUGUAGGACAGAAUUCAAAUUUUUAUUUGUACGUGAACAAGUAGUUUACUCCCACAGGCACUAAAAAGUUAUUAUGAAGCAGAAGAAAUGGUCUUUAUAAAAGAUCACAUAAUGAUAACUGAGGAGGCCUUCAAAUAUGACGCUUCCGUAGGAACCAGACAAGCAUCUUGGGUAGAGAGGGUUAUCAUGCUAAUUGAAAUCCCAUGUUGUUUCUUCCUCUGAGCAACUUAGACGACAGUCCCUUUCAGGCCCAGGAAAGCGAUUUUUCCUGAAACUACUAUAAAAUAACGCUAAAAUCAUGUGGGACUUGAAAGAAGCAAACAUCACCAAGGCACUUUUACCUUAGCCUCUUAAGUGCCUGAUGGAGCAUCUUGCCUUACAGAAACUGGUGCUCAAUUGAGUAAUCAUGCAUGUAGCAAGCUGGUGCUCAAUUGGGUAAUAUGCUCUCUCUCUCUCUCUCUCUCUCUCUCUCUCAAAGCAAGAGGUAAGAUUGGGGAUCUGGUGCCUUGGUAAGCUCAGAUAGUAUGCAGAACUAUAAUAAUUAUGUCUAGAAGGGAUGUCAAAGGAUUGAAGAGAAUAACAGGGCGGAAAGCCAGCUCUGCAUAUUACUGUGGUCUAAAGAAAUAAACGAGAAAGAAAGACUACAUGGAGACAAGUCAUACCAGUUCUUCGUCCCACCAAGCUUCCCAGCUUUCUUCUCCCUUAACCCCAAUUCCUCCUCUGUAAAGAAGCCAAUUUGUCCAAUCCCUGAAAUCCUCUACCGUCCUAAAAAUAUGAAAUGAAAAGAUUGCUCAGCAAAGGGGAACAAAAUUAAACCUCAAAAAAGGAAGUGUUAGAAACGUUGCCUACUUUUGCCACUCAAAUCCAGAUGGGUUGAACAAAUAGGGAGCAAAAAGCCAAGAAAGAGCCAUAAACCAACUGCUAACUGUAAGAAGAAUGUAGGACAGUGCACCGCCUUCAUUGUAUCCAUAUGCGAGGUAGACCACCAGCAAAAGCGCAACUUCCAGCCUGGAAGCAAGAGGAAAAUUAGAUUGGUAUUCCUGAUAAAGAGUGUGUGUGUAUAUAUAUAUAUAAGAGAGAGAGAGAGUACCCUUUGACAAAAUGACUGCGAGAGUAGAGCCUAUAAUUCUCAGAAAAUCUAAUAUGGCGGACCACAAAUCCCCUACCAGUGGCUUGGUACUGUUGAUGAAAGACAUUAUUUUACUGCAUUUUACAUAAGGUCGCAAAGAGACAGGGGAGGGGAAAUGAGAGAAAGCAGUAAUACCCUUGCACCACCAUGAAGAAUUGUGCGACCAAAAUAAUGUGUUCUUGUGCCUAAUGAAAAAGUGAAGAAGACAGAGCAAAGCUGGAGCUGCAUUGUAAUGAAACCGACAAUGGCCUGCAGCAAUCAACAAAAGAUUAGAAAGAAAAUUGAUUUUGUUGAUGGCAGCAUUCUAAGCAGUUACCAAAACAUGCAAUCAAAGCAGAAAAACAACUGCUAAUUCAGUUUAAUGACAGUAAACAAAAUAUCAAACAUGUUAUACAAUUUGCUAGUAACCCCAAAUAAUGGAUAGCAUAAAAUGAACUACAAAACAACAAAAGUUAAAAAUAAGCAUAGUAGUGAACAGUGAAUAACUAUUAUCUACAGGAAAUAACAUAACAUUUUGUAAGUACAUUUGUGAAAAAAGGGUGUCCUCCAAAUAAAAGAAUGCUAGCUUAAGAAAAAUCAGUAUCAAAUUAAAAAGACCUCAACAUUUUGCAGGAAAAUUAAAAACACCAUUAUUUAAUUAGUAAAAAGACAUGAUCCAUCACAAUUCAACCACAUCAGCAAGAAAUUUCAUUUAUCUUGCCAGUAUCCUUCAAUAUUUAAAUUCAGCACUUAAAAGCCACAUAAUAACAUAUAUAAAGCACCAAAGCACUGCAUUUGUGCAAGAAGGUACCAUGUCACCAAGAUGUAAAGAAAAUCUAAAUCAACUGUGUUAGAAUACCAUAUUCGGAAAUUUUUUAAGAAAAUAGUCUGUCUAAUUAAAAGACAAGAAUUCAUUAUCUUAAGACCUUGAAAAUAUAGCUCCAGAUCAUCUUUCCAUAACAUUUACUUGGAUAAUCAAGCACAUUUAUAUAGUAAACAGAUGACCCAGAGCACUGUCCCCAAUGAAGAGUAUCCAGAAAAAUUCAGACAAGCAGUACCAGAAGAAACUCAACUGAAUUCAAAUACCCAACCCAUUCUAUGCGUGUCUAGGUGUUUCCUCAUAAAACACAAGCAACCAGCGAUGACACAAAUUUCUUGUUGACAGUAAGCUUUAUAUUACAAACACAAUGUACAGUCUGUUUUCUCAAGCAUAAGCAAAGGAAUGACAUAGAUAUAUACUUCAUCCAGCCAAAGAACAUAAGCUAACCACAGCGAGAUCUCCAGAAUAUAAAACAUCAAAUACACCCUAGAUCCAUUCCACAAUUCAAGCAAGACAUAAUGUAAUUUCAUAACAAAAAAGAAACCUAGGUGUAGAAAGGUAUGAAUUCAUAAGUGAAAAAACGAAAGCAUUCUUGUCACCAUGAUGAUGCAGUGUCUUUUACCACUUCAACAAAUAAAUGAAAAUACCAAGGUAAGAUAUGCAUUUACCCUCAGAAAACCCUGCUCCAAGAUGAAGCCCAAAAUCAUAGGCACAGCAGUAAACACACCAAUUUGAAACAGAAACUGUGCGUUUAGAGCAGCACUCAGGGCAGCGUUCUGCAGUAUGUCAGAUCUAACUUGAAUUUGUUCACCAACUCCAGAAAGUGCCUGAAAUAGAACUGCAUCAGAGAAAAAUAAUUGCAAACCACUUGGACAUGCAUCAGAUUGUAGAAUCUAGUGCAUUAGCACUAGCACUAGCACAAAGGUGGAGUGUGAGAAGUAACAAGCUAGGUCUCGCAGAAGGAAAAGGAAAGGGAAAAGAUAAUCAGAUAAACAGCUAAAAUAUCAUAGCAUAAAUAACUGCCGAGCAAGAAUGUUGAAAAUGAAGAAAAUGUUUCCAUCUCAAUGAUAGAACAUAUAGCAAUAUUUUUUAGUCAGUCUAUUCAUUAGAACUCUUAUCAGAAGUAAUAUAUAUGUGUUGGAAUAGGAAAUAUUGACCUAGCUGUAAAUAUAGGAAUUCUAGGCUACAUUAAAGGAGAUUAGGCAAAUCAUUAGGCAGAUUUCUUAUAUAGCUGUGAUUAUGUUCUUUCUUUAUUUAGGUGAUGUUUGUACCUAUAUAUAUAUACAAUGUAAUACAUGUAAAUUAAGAAGCAAUACAACCUAUCUUUUCUAUUUAUUUACAUGGUAUCAGAGCUAUCCGAAAAAAAAAAAAAAAAAAAACCCUAGCCUCCUCAAAGAAAAAUCUGGCCACUGCAAUUCCACCAUGCCUGCAACUCCAUCUGAUGGGUCAGUCACUAAUCCUACUUUUGAAAUACGUACUUCAUACAAUCAAAGUCAAGCAGACCACACCAUGUUUUAAAAACGUUCUAAGGAAGGUAAAACAGCAGUGUUGGUUGUGUAUGUUGAUGAUAUGAUUUUAACUGGUGAUGAUGAGGAUGAAUUAGCUAGUUUAAAGAAAAAGCUAAGUCAGGAAUUUGAGAUCAAAGACCUAGGGCCAUUAAAGUAUUUUCUAGGCAUGGAGUUCGCAAGAUCACGAGAAGGAAUUUUUGUGAAUCAAAGGAAAUAUAUCCUUGAUCUACUAAAUGAAACAGGUCUUCUAGGUUGCAAAGCAGCUGAAACUCCAACGGAGGUGAAUCUCAAAUUAAAUCCUGCAAAACCAGAGGACAUAACUGAAAAGGAGAGGUUUCAGCGUUUAGUGGGCAAACUUAUAUAUCUGUCACAUACUCGUCCUGAUAUAGCAUUUGCAGUAAGCAUGAUUAGCCAAUUUAUGCACUCACCAGGCCAAAAACACUUUGAAGCUGCCUAUAGGAUACUUAGAUAUCUAAAGGGAACACCUGGAAAAGGACUGAUGUUUAAAAAAUAUGGUCAUUUGCAAGUGGAAGUCUAUACCCAUGCUGAUUGGGCAGGUAGCACUGCAGAUAAAAGGUCAACAUCAGGGUAUUGCACUUUUAUUGGAGGAAAUCUUGUUUCCUGGAGGAGCAAAAAACAAAAUGUUGUAGCACAUAGUAGUGCUGAAGCUGAAUUCAGAUCUCUUGCACAUGGAAUUUGUGAAGCAAUGUGGAUUAAAACGUUAUUAGAAGAUUUGGAGCUACCUAUUUCCCUCCCCAUGAAAGUCUAUUGUGACAACAAAGCUGCUUGUUCCAUUGCACAUAAUCCAGUUCAUCAUGAUCGGACUAAGCAUGUUGAAGUUGACAAGCACUUUAUCAAAGAGAAGAUUGAAAGUGGACUGAUUUGUAUUCCUUAUAUUCCUACAUCUCAACAAAUAGUUGAUAUUUUUACCAAAGGACUACUGAAAAGACAAUUUGAUUUUCUAGUAAGCAAGCUGUCAAUGGGAGAUAUUUUUCAGCCAGCUUGAGGGGGAGUGUUGGAAUAGGAAAUAUUGACCUAGCUGUAAAUAUAGGAAUUCUAGGCUACAUUAAAGGAGAUUAGGAAAAUCAUUAGGCAGAUUUCUUAUAUAGCUGUGAUUAUGUUCUUUCUUUAUUUAGGUGAUGUUUGUACCUAUAUAUAUGCAAUGUAAUACAUGUAAAUUAAGAAGUAAUACAACCUAUCUUUUCUAUUUAUUUACAAUAUGCAGUACAGAAGGACACAUAUCAGUGGGCUUAGCAUCAACCUCAAAGAUUAUGAAAGUUGACAUUCACUGACAUACUUUUUCAAGUCACACAGCUGCCCACAUGCAGAAUAGCAAAGCACAAGGAAAUUGGUAAAAACUCUAGCCAUAUUGGAUGACAGUAUUUAUGCAUGUAGAGCAUAUAUAGCAAGCAUAGCAAAAAUAUCCCAUAAAGAGGAAGCUUACCAAAUAUAGCUUCCCAUAAAGGAAGAUGUACACUGUCAGCACUGUUAACUGCAAAAGAAUUUUGGAAACUAGUCAAAAUCCACAAAAGAGUAGCCAAAAACCCGGAGUACUUUUUUCCUGAUCUGUAGCUUGCCUAUGGUAGUUUCCUCAUUUAUUUCUAUUUUCUAGGCUCUGAUUUCUCUUCCAGUUUGUCAUUAGACAUCAGUAUAUAGUCUCUUGUAAAUUGUCAUUCGACAAUAGAAUGAAAAUUAUCACAAUUAUUCCUCUCAAAUUUUACAAGCACAUAAAGGAUGCAUAUAAUCAUGUCAAUGAAGUAAGCAGAUACAGAGAUGGCAUAAGAGUAGACACUGAUGAAUUGGCUAAAAAAUAAAAUUCCAUAAACAAGUACACACCAGUCCAUCAAUUGUAUGAAAUUAGCAUGCUUGUUAUUAGCUCAUACAUGUUUCAUUUGUUUAUGAUUCUGAUAAUUAACUGCUGAAAAACAUCAAUCUCCAUUUUAUCAACCAUAAUAUCAUGCCUAAAGUUAGAGUAGUUACAUACCAUUGUACAGAAAUAAUACCCCACAGUAGUGAAGUAAAACGACAUCAUUCGAAAGAAAUCAAAGAGCUGCCCAAGCCUGUAAAUGUCCCGACUAAGAACUUGCUCCCCAUUGCCACCUGCAACUUUUCCUUCAAAUAGAGCAAUCUGAUUGAGACCAACAUCUCGUCCUUUGCCAACCUGUAAAUUGGAAUCAGGUUUUACAAUUUAGAUUCCAAGUAAUAUACCAAAUAGAUAACAAAUGAAAACAAGAAAAAAUACCUGAAUAUACUCAUGGUGAGUAAUAUUUCCUUGGCGCAAAGUUGAAUUGAACCCUGCAUGGAAGUCAAAAGUCACAACUCUUAAUCUUUGAGAAAAUGAAAAAGAAAGCACAGUGUUGUUCUUUCAUUUCCUUCUAGAGUUUCUUAACUAAAGAAGUUAGUCUUAUGUGCAUAUGGACCAAAACAAGCAGUUUAAAAGCUUCUUCAAUCACUGAAAAAAAGGGACUACCCAGCUUUUCGCUUCAAAUUAAAAUUUCAAGCACUUGUUACUUUUAAAAAUGGUUUGAUAACUUAAUAUAGGCCAAACUCAAAUAUUUCAGUUAGUCAAAAACCACUUAAAAUGGUAAGUCAAAAUAAUUAAUUUAAAAUUUCUACUUAGAACGCUACAUAUUGGUUUCUUCAAUGAUUAUUUGACUUUUACUCCCUUAAUAUAUUCUUAAUAUACCAUAAAUUAUUAUUGACUAUUAUGCUCUUGUUUUAUAUAUUUAGGAUGACGUCAAGUCAUCAUGCCCCUUAUGCCCUAGGCGAGACACAUGCUACAAUGGCCGGGACAAACCCGCCGCCGUGAUCCAAUGAGAAUAGAUAAGAGGGACAUUAGCCCGCAAGAGUAAGCUAAUUCCAAAAACCCGUCCGCAAUUCGAAAUGCAGGCCGACACUCACCUGCAUGAAGCCAGAUUUUUUAUUUUUAUUAUAUAAUUAUAGUUUCCAAUUCCUAUUAAGUAAUUUCAAAUAUAAUUUGACGGCUAAAAAAUGUUAUGUUUUUCAGUAUUACAAUUAUCAAAUAGAUUGAUUAGAUUCAGAACUUAAGAUUCAAUGUAUUAGAUUAUUCAAUUUUACCAAACGCCAAGGAAAAGAGCAUUUAUAGUAAAAUCAUAAACAUUUAUUAAAGAGACACCAGCUGCAGUCAAUUUUCUAGCACCUAAAUCAUAGACACUCUAGUUAAUGAUUUACGGGUUUUAAAGUCUUGAUUAACAUAGUGGCGCAGUGAAUUUUUUAAAGUCUUCUUUUUCAAGAAACAGCUUGAUGUCAAACCAAAUUUGAGUAUGGUUUCUUUGCCACAAAGAAAUUGUUCGCUAAGUUAGCUAGGGCACAAAUCCUUCUUUAAAAGGAAGUUCUUUAAUUCUUCAUUAAAUUAUCAUUUCUGUACAAGGUUUCUAUAGACUUUGUAUGAUGUCAAUCCAUAGUCUGAUGGGUGUAUUAAACCCAACGCUCCAAGUGUCAUAUGCUUGGAGAGCCUUGUUUGAUGCUGAAUUCUUCCUAUCUCUCUGUUUUUCUUUUUCUUAAGAAUAAUUUCAAUCUACAAGACCAACCUAAGAAAGUAAGGCUUUUCUCAUAUCAGUUACACUCAAUCAUGGCCACAAAAUGUUAAACUGUAUCAACAUACUAAUGGCCAAGCAAAAUGCAUGCUACAAGACUACAACAGGUAAUACUUGUCUUAUAGUAAAGUUAUUUCUUUUAAAAGAAAGAGUUCACAACCCAUUUUCGAGGUGCAUAUCUCUUGUACAUAAAAAUGCUAAUAAAAGUUAUAAACACAAGAAUUGUAAAUUCAAAAUUUGAAAGGAAAAUUCUGCAUGGCAUAAAUCAGAAGUUUGAUAGCCAGUUACUUUUCCUAAAAGAAACUCCUGUGGAGAGCCAAAACCACUUUAUGGUCAAUUGGAUGACAGUCAUGAAGAAUAACGAGGGAAAAUUUAAAUUCUAUGAGUUGAGAAGGCUAUGAGGUUUCUUUGUUAGAUACCCAUUUUGUUUGCUGGGAUGUCUAGUGUUAAGAUUGUGGAAGGUUUAGGUUUAAGAGUAGAGUGUGUUUUGGGGAUUCAAAGACCAGAUAAUGUGAAUUUAACGUGAAUUCAUGUAUUAGAUAUCUAAAUAUGGUAUUAGUUUAUUACUAUUGGUUUCUUAGAGUACUUCUGAGGAUUUUUGUUUAUUCAAUUGGUGCUUGAUAAGAAAGAGAGGAGCUAAGUUUGUUGGUAUUCUGGAAGGUCUUGGAGAAAAUGAUGCCAGUAUCUGUGAAAAUCAUGUUUGGUGCUCCACCUUAUUUUUGCAUGCAACUAAAUGAUGAUUUUUCUGAAUUGUUCAUUUCCAUCCAAACAAAUGCUGCCAGGAGAUUUGAGCAAUCUAAUAUAUUACAAUAGGUUUCCCAGUACAAAGCAAGACUCGAUUGCUUUAUAUGUUUGCGGCAGCUGGUUUCUGAUAGAUAUGAGACCUUCGGUUUCUUUUUAAUGUUGGACAAUGUGGAGGUUCAAAUUAGAGUUCACUUAGCAGUUAGUUUCAAGAGUUUUUGUUUCAUCAAUAACCAGUUGAAUUCAGGAAUAAUACCCAAUAUGCUUCAUUUUUUGGAUAAAUCUGACUGUCUAACCUAAACUAGACUAUAAACUGAUCAGUCUGAAAUGCCGUUCUCAUCCUUUUCUGUAACAGGAGGGUGGUGGGUGUGGUGGUAAACCACGGAGGAAGAGAUUAAGUAAUUCAUUAACCUAUAUGCAAUUCCCGUUCAAGUCCAUAUAAAAAUGGGCUCAAGAUUAAUCAGUUUUUAGAUAACCCAAUUAUAAUAAGAGUUGAAAGAAAAAAAGAAAGAGAAAAAGAGAAAGGUUCUUUCUCAAAUAAUCAUGCCUGCAUAUAUAUCUUCACUAAUGUUGAUAACUCGAGAAGCCUUGCUGAUACCACCCCGUGUUAUAUGGAACACUCUAUCAAAGACAUCAGGAUGACCAUAAUGCAUACGGACUCUGCAUUUUGCAUAAAACUCAACAUCAAUUAUCCUGAGCUUUAUGAUAUUAAUCUACCAAUUCCCUUGCAUGAAAAUGUAGGCUUACUUCAAUGGAUUAGCCAGAACACGCUGACCAAGAGUAACAAAGCUAGUUUCCUGAUUUGACAUAAAGGAGGCCAAGGAAGAGACACUGCAAAAUAAAAGUCAAUUCAUAAGCCAAAUUAAAAUAGGUUCAAAAUAAAGAGAGAAUACAAGUCUCCACAGAAACAUACCUUCCUGUAAAGACAUGUUCUCGAACACCAAGAAUCGUUGGAGGAUGAAUACCAUGAUCAUGAUGAAAUUCUUCCAGAAGAUUUCUCAUCUUCAAGGCUUCCUCAAAAUAAUUAUCCUACAGUUAUGAUAUUAAGCAUCAUUAUUACAUCCAAAAUUAGUUCUCAAGAAGGAAAAUGGAUAUGUAAUACACACUAACACUCACAUUGAUACUGUCUCAAAGUGCGGAAAAUUAAAAAUAGAAAAUUAAGGCAACUACUCCAUUCCCCUCUCUUUUUCCAAGAGAAAAAAAAAAAAAAAAACACAAUUUCUCCCAGAUCUUAAAAACAACUCAAUGUCUUUCUUGGCAAAAGGACUGCAGGAAAAUAUGCAAGUAAUCAUCACCAUGUUAUCAAUUGAGAAAUCAGUUUGUUAACAUACAAGUGAGCAAAUGCUCAUGUGAAAAACAGGGAUGCAGUUAAAUGGAAAAGACAACUUGAGCUUAAUUUUGAUAAGUUAUUUUCUUCUUAUAAGCUUUUCCAUUUAAAAACAUUCUGGAACUCCAAUUUAGCAUCUUCUGAUUUAGGAAGUGAAAAUUUUGAUAGUGCUCAUCCUUGCUGACCAGGUAGUCUCUAGACUUGCCUAUAUAGUUAGCCACUUCCUAAGUCUAAUACUAAGAAUACUAGUAUAUUUGGCUUGGAGGGAUAUAUCCCUAGUGCUGUAUCUACUCUCGGACUCCUCUCUGUAUUCUUAUUUCCCCUCCAUGGCUUUCUCCUUGAACUUCACACUCACUACAACUUAAUAUUACAAUUCUCUCCACUGGACCACCAUCCCACAAGUCCCUUAUCCAACCUACAAAUCCAAGCCUGUUAACGUGCAACAAGCACACGAGGAGAUAUAAAUUUAAACCUGGCCUGUAUCAGUUUGGUAGAAUGCUGAAGCUACGACAUAAUAAUGAUAAUAUACUGUUUGCAAGUGUCUAAAGACAAGGUUAAAGAGUGGUCUUUCAAUUAGCAUAUAAAACUCUUUUCUUUUUUCUCCACUUUCUUGAAAUAUUAUAUUUACUCUCAACGCUAUACUUUAUAAUCUUAACAUCUUUUAGCUUGCGUCCAAGCUAUAAUUGUUUAGAGAACCAAGUUAAUUCAGAAAGCAAUCAGUUACCUGAUUCAUAUCAAUAGUCUGAACUGCGUUUCCACGAGUAAAUACAAUCGCAUGGUUUUGAUUCUCAGGUUUUCCUUCUCCAAGCUUAGGAUUUCCAGGCAACUUUAUAGAGUAAAUUUCCUGCAAAUCGAAUAUUUAAAAUAAAUGAAAGAAAAUUAGGAAAGGGACUCAAUAUUCUGAAAUUAAUGAACUGAAGAAUUGCAAUGGACAAAGCGUAGCUAGAAGUAACAGCAUAGUCAAAAGAAAACACCUAAUCUCAAUGAGCCAGCAAACUAUAACUUGAAGUAAGACACUAAAGCAGAUAAUAGAAAGUUACAGGAAAAUAGGACUACAGACUAGAUUAAAAGCCACCACAGCAAAAGCAAUAGAACAUGUAAUAAGAUGCAAGAAAACUUCAUAUUUUGUGAAGUUUCUAUGAAGUUAAUUGCCCAUGUUAUGCUAUUAAAGUGCAAAUAUUAACUGCUAUUGUGCUUUACUUAAUUUCAUUUAUGACUAAAUUUGUUGAAAGUGAAUGAACAUUUUUCCAAACAUUAAAAGCCUAUUCGCUAUUGCUAUUAAAUUCUGCUGCUGUUGUUUUCAAAAGCGUUGAUCGUAAAAGCUAAUGACAAAAAUUAUUUAUUGUCUGGUAAUAAGAUCCAAAUAAAUGACCAAAAAAAAAUCGCUACAUUUAUAAAAUAUCUGGUAAUUCUUUUUAUAAAUAUUAAAUUUCUCAUGAUUAAUACCCACUAACAAUUCAAUAAUUUAAUUUAACAAAUAUUAGCAUGAUAAAGUAAUGUGUUUGAAGUGCUGCUGUAAUAAAAAAGAUAAAAAAAGAAGUACAUUGAAUUAGAUUUAAUAUUAAAAGAUCACAUGCCACUGAAAAUUAAAAUAAAAAGAAAACUGACUAUACACAUAUAAAAUUAUAAAUAAGUAAAUUACAAAACAUUAAAUAAUAUGCCAAUUAGAAAAUUUAAAGAAGUUGUAUUUAAUAGAAUGUUUGUAAAUUGUAAAUAUGUUUAAAAGUAAUAGGGAUUUUUUGCCCAUCUAAAGUUUCAAAAACUGCUUUUCCAUAAUUCUCCAAAACUCAAUUUGCAGAAAGCAUCUACAUUAAUUCUUUUCCAAUUUGGAGACGAUAAAACACAGUUGACUUUUAUCCAAACACCUUAAAAAAAAUACUUUUGGGCCCAAUCCUCUUUUUUACCUCGUCCAACCUCAAUGCCAGGAGGCCUCGAAGUAACAUGGUCAUUUGAUGAUGGUCUAGAUUGAAAUGAAAACAAGCUUCAAUGACUGAGAAUUAUUGGUCUAGUAUCUCUUUAGUCUAUUUCUGGGCAUCAUUUAGUACUUUCUAGGCCUUUAAGAGUUUUAUAGUCAUCAUUAUACCAAAAAUUAGAUGCUGUUAAAGAAUUUUAUAACUUUAGGAUUGAGGCAGAUUUUGGUAAUUUCUGGCUUUGCUGGCAUUUCAGGUCCCAAAAUUAAAAUCUAUGUUGGGUUCAAUUCAUAAUAGAUCCCAAAAUCAGUUUCAUAGUUUUAUAAUGCAUUUCCCUUGCUCUUUCUGUAGGGAUGCUGUCAGAGUUUCCAUGACUUGAAUCAGAAACCUCCUAAUCACAAAGAAGGAAACCCCCACAGUGCACCCAAACUUGCAUAGAAUAAGAAGACAAAAAAAAGUGACCUUGUCUUUCCCAUUGAUAUCAGCCUUCACAAGCUUAGAGUAAAACUCUCUCUGUACGUUGCCAUCCUUUAAAGUUUCAAUGUCAUCAAUGAAAGCAACACGAAGAGCUUCAUUUCUGCCAAUACAAGUGGAUGAAUAAUUAUGUUAAGCACAUAGCACAACUAGAAAGUUCUCCAGUAGAGGGAACAUUGCCUCAUAAAAAUUCUUGAUUUAAACCCCAAGUGUGUGUGUGUGUAUAUAUAUAUAUAUAUAUAUUAGUUUUUACUCCACGUGCAUUGCACAUGAAUAUUAAUUGUUGGACUCGUUAUAAUAAAUUUAUUGCAUAUAUUCUUUCUUAUAUAAUUCUUGUAUACAUUAAUUCGAGAAAGAAGAUUUUACUUAGAUUCGUUAUUAUAUUUCAUAAAAUGAAAAAGAUAUAUUUCAUCUCAUUAUAAGAUAUCUUGAUUUUAUUUGUUAUUUUAAAAAUAAAUUAAUAAUAAAUUAAACUUUAGUUUUUAUAAUACCUCAUAAAUUUCAGUGUAAUUAUAUAUCUUAUUUAAAUAUAAAUUUUUAAUUUCACAAAUAAUCUAUUAGAAAUGAAAAUAUAGCUUAAAUGAAAAUAAAAUCAAGCAAAUUUAGAAUUGAUAUUUUAUAAUUGUAUAGCCUUUUAUAAACAUUCUUGGAUAUGAAUAAGCCAAAUUUUAUAAAUAUCUUACAAAUUUUUCCUUAAUUUUGUAAUAAUUUUGUCAUCAUUUAAAAUGAAUUUCUUGCUUUUACUAAUAAAGCUUUCUCUUUUAUUUUUAAAAUAUUUAGUAAAGUAUAAGAUUAUUAAUUCUUUUUUUAUUUUUACUGAAAUCAUGCCAACAAAAAACUUAGAAGUUAUAACAAAAGUAAUAACUUUAACUGUUCAAACAUUAUCAUAAAUAUUAAUCUUAUGAUACAUAAUUUUUUUCAUAUAAUUCACGAAAUAAGAUUAUACUUAAACUCAUUUUAUUAUUUUUAUAAUUCAUAAAUGUUUCUCAAAGAAAAAGAAGGUUUAAAAAAAUAGAUUAACCAUAGCAUGCAUAAUUUGUAGCUAAUACUCACACGUGGAAAGUCUAGCUCUAGUAUAUAAUAAAUAAAAUGACAAAAACUCAUUUUAUACAGCUAAGAGAAAAUAUAUACAAAUAAAAUGAAUAAAUAACUCUAACUGAAUUAGUUUUAAAAUAAUCAUUAGAUUAUUAAGGGAAAAAUUAUUUCAUGUUUUUCUUUGUAAUUAAUAGUUCAAUCAAAUCAAUUUCAUGAUUCAUUCUUUAUAUCUAAUUAUCUCAAAGUACUGAUUUUAGAUUUUUUUUAUAUUUCUUAAAUUAAUAUUUACUCUAGAUGAAUUAAUUGCUUAUUAAUAAGUCACAAGCUCACAAUCAAAAUCAUAAAGAUAAAUAUAAAACUCGUUAUAACAUGGCCUUUGCCACAAACCUUAAUAAUAAGAAGUGGGUGUUUUGCAUUAAUGUCCUCUCUUUGUGCUCUUCAUUCUUUUUUUCAUUAUUUUAUUAUAAAUUAUGUAGUCUGUAUUAAAUACUUUAUUUUUACCUAUAAUAAAAACAAAAAAAUAUAUUAUAAUUUUUUAGUGUCAUACUCUAUAAAAAGUCUAUCCCUAUAUUACUACUAUUUUUUAUCUUUUCCAUUAAAUUAUACUAAGUUAAAAGUACUUAUUUUAUAUUAUUUUAUAUCUCUUAUUAAUUAUUAAUAAAAGUAUACUAGAGUUAGGAUUCAGCUAAGAGUUUUUUUAAUCCUACUACUAUUAUUCUUUAAUAAUUAACUAAUUAUUAACUCAAUUAACAAAAGACUAUAUUAACCAAUUUUAAUAGACUAGUAUACAAGGACGUCUUAAUAAAUUUGCUUGCAUCCCUCCGUUCAUACUUUUGUAUAUGUUAUGAUUAUAUAUGUUAUGAUAUGAUAUGAUAUGUUCAUAGGAGAAGGGAGAAAGAAGGUAAACAAGGACGUAGGUAACUCACCUUUGCAUGAGCAAUGCAAUAUCAGCUGCCUCAGGUUUUUGCUCCUCUUUCUGUUUUCCAUAUAUUUGACAUGUAACAACAUAUGUAAACUUCAGAUCAACCUGAGCUCGUGCCUCAGGAGACAACUCAAAGCCCCCAGUGUCAGUUGCAUCAUUAUUUGAAAUUACAGCUUCAACAUCUGAUACCAGCAGGAAAGUUAAGAUGAUCGAAAAUACGAAGAACAGAAAAACAAAGUUGAAAAUACAGAAGCCCUAACCUCCAGCUGUUGCUCUUUCCAAAUAGCUUUGAAGCAUAAGAGCUUUUCUAUAGUACAUCAUCCCACGAACUGGAAAUACAAAUUAUAAUUCAGAAAAAUAUCUAUAAACAUACUUUCAUGCUUUGGUUAACUAAAUCUCCAUAGUAAACCAGGCAAGGCCCAACAUGACCAUCCCACAUGGUAUAAAUUAAUCGAAGUUAGUGCAACAAAACAAGUUGUACUUCCACCAUUCUCUUCAUAUCAAAUCAACCAAGAUUAGAAUACCUAAGGAAAGCCGUAAGCUCAGUUACAUAAAUAUUCACACUACUAUUGGUUGUAAUUCUCGUGUGUGUGUAUGUGUGUAUGUGCCUCCUUUCAGUGCAAGCCUUUCUGAAACAGAGAAUAGUAACAAAGAUAAAUGAAACAAUAGUUUAAGAAGAUAAAGAUUUUUCUGGUACAUUUCAGUAUAAAAUUGCAGAGCUAUAACUACAAUCUGGAAAAUGAACCCACAUAUAGGUGAAGAUCAACAACAGAAGCACGAUAGAGGUAAGACAUAAACGUUGCAACCAAUGUCCUUGACUAACACCGAUUAUAAUAGAAAAAUACUCCCUCCGACCCAGAAAGACGGUCCUUUUUUGUUCGUCCUUUUUCUAGUUGUUAGUUGAAUAACUAGUGGUAAAAAAUGCCCUAUAAAUUAAAUUUCAACUUUCUUACUUCAAAAUUAUAAAUUUUUAUUGAGUAAUUUUCAGUUGCAAUGACGUUAAAUCUUUUAAUCUCAAGAAAAUAGAAAUUAAAUAACAACGGAUGAGUUGCAAGUCCAACAAAAUUGAUGUGAAUGGUUGACACUUAAAACAUCUAACAAGGGUACUUUAGUAAGUAUAAAAAUUAAUGGUAUCAACUAUAAAAAUAUCUCUUAAUCCAUGUAUAAAUUGAAAGUGAACUAUCGUUUUAGGACGGAGAGAGUAGAAGAUUGCAAACCUUAUGUAGUCAGAGCCCAUGACCAAGAACAUAUACAAAGCAAUAAUUUUCUUACAUGCAGCAACCAAAUAUCAUUAACGAUAUGAUUUUGCUGUUUUGUCACCCCCAUUAUAAGAUAUUAACAGCACAUAGGACAGCAAGAGAAAAGAAAAUAGAUGGAUAAUACAUACUUCAGGAAAUACAAAUAAAAUGAAUGUUCUCCAACAAUUUGGGAAAACAAAUGGAGUGACAAGAAUCAUUUCCCAAUUAAUAAACCAACAACAAGAGAGAGACAGAGACCAUUUACCGGUUCUGGCCAAUGUUUGACCCCUGUAAGAGGCCCAAAACCGAAGUUCAAGGAUAUCACUAGGACUAUCAAAGAGUUCUGUGUCCAAGGAAUUUUCGUCACGGCCAAUGCGAGCAAGAAAGUUCUUCCACUCAUCUAUGGUAGAAUCCAAAAAGCAUUCAGGUCAUGAGCAGAAGAAUAAGAAUACAAUUCAAGUUACAAUUCCAAUUAGAUAAAAGACUAAUAAGAGAAAAGUCACAAUCAAAUUACGCCAGCAAGGAAUAUGCACCUUUUUCUGUUAUAAAUAAUGGGAAUUAAGACUGAGAUUGUAAGUAUCAUAAAGCAUAAUGCAAUCUCAAAGUCAUCGCAAGUUGAACCAAAGAUGGAAAACCACAUAAAAGCUAUGUUCAGAAAAGUAUGGAAACUAUUUUUCAGCUGACUGCCCCAUCUAUAUGAUAGAAAGAGAAAUGAGAAGAAAUACUGCCUAGUCUCAACAAUAAAAUGUCCACUACUAAGAAGGCAUAGUUCAAGCACAAGUAAGCAAGCAAGCAGGUAAUUAUAUUAGGCGAACAAACUAAGUUGAGAUGCAUAAAAGCACAACGAACUGCACCAUCAGAAAUGAAAGCAUAGAGAGCAAACCAACCAGAGAAUACCUGGAAAUAUCUUUUGGAGGUAAAAUAAAAUUGAUAUUCCAUCCUCAUUUUUCUUUAGAAGUUCAGCCAUGCUAUAAAGAACAAUCUCAGAAUAAUAUGGAGUAAACACACUGCACAUUCAAAAUAAAAGCCUUAGAUAACUAAACACUUCGACUUUAGAUAUGUGUGUCUCUAGAAACAGAUUAAUGCACUAGGGUUAACCUGAAAGAUAGCAUUUCACGGACUGGCUUUGCCUCGGGCAUAUCCAUAAAGAGGGAAUUUGUGAAGAACUCCAGCCUACGUCUGGCUUCAAAAUUUCUAGGAAUAUUUGAAGCGGAUUCUUUUAUGGUUAAAAGCGAAUGCAAUCUCUUGAUUUGAGUUCUCUGCACAUCUUCUCCAACUUAAUAAAACUUGCAUGAUAACGAGAAAAGGUUUACCAUUACUGAGAUUUAAAUAAAGAAAAGCCGGCAAUAAUAUACCAACUCAGAAUUUCUAGGCCACUUCAAGUCUGUAAAUAACCGGCCUUCGGACCUUGCUUCUGAUAGUAAAUUCCAUGUGUCAUAGUGCUCCCUGCAAUGUACUCCAUAAGAGAUAUUCGAGUCGAACGUGUAACGAAAGGUUCAAGUAAUAAGUGAAUAAAAGCAACUUUAGCACACCUCAUAAUGACAGAAAAAAUAUCAUAUCGCACAACAUCAUAGAGAUCUUGAAUAGCUUUGAUUGCUCCUUUUUUCAGCUCUGGUGUUUCAGGCUCUUUCUGACGAUGGAAUAUUUGAAACACAAUGAACAUAGGUGCUCAUCAGAAGCUUGUUAAUUUCAAUGCAAAGAUAUGUACAAUAAAAUUAUUAGCUAGUACCAUAACAAAAAUGAAUUGCUUUUUCUGUUAAAAUUAGUUGCUAUAAAUUAACAUGUUAUCAUUAUAUGUUUAAAGCUGGCACUCAAUGGUUUUGCUGAGUUAAUUCCUGGGAACGGGAGGUGUGCUCGUUCACUAGAUAAGAACAGAAAAUUACAAACUAAGUUAAUAUAGAGUAAUUUCAUAAUUAGCAAAGGUGCAAAGGGGUCAUGAAGCACAUUAGCAACACGCAUAUACACAAAAUUAUUUUACAAAAGAAUCAAAAUUCAUAACGCAUUUAAAUUAUUAUUAGCAAGUUCAUAAAAGUUAAAUUAUAAUCCAACCACCAAGAUGGAAAAAAGAAGAACAUGAAAUUUCACUUGUUUGUGCAUUUAAUAAACAGUUUAUUGAAUAAUUAAGAAACAAAGCUCAUUUAAACUCCAAAAUUCUUUUAAACAUUUUCCAUGCAUGCUCCUUUUACCAGGUCAUAUCAUCUUGUAACUUAACCAGACAGAUUGUUCUCCCCUAAAGAAAAGUCAGAAUCAGGACAAGGGCAGGGAAGUUUGAAGCAGAAAACUUAUAUCAACUUAGUGCAAGAGGCGAUGCAAAUUAGGGUAAGAGGAGUAUAUUUAAGGUGAGUGGAUCCCACAAAAGGAAGGAUUGGUUGCAGUUGACUCCGAGAAUGAUGGUCCGCAAAAUUUCUAGUGCUUACAGCAAUAAUAACAGUAGAUAUGGCAAGUUCUAUGGCUGUCACUCAUAAUUGGCCUUUGCAUCAACUAGAUGUCAAGAAUGUUAUUCUUCAUGGCAAUCUUCAAGAGGAAGUUUAUAUGGAGCAAAAUCUUGGUUUUGUUGCUCAGGAAGAGAAUGGGAAAGUUUGCCGUCUUUGAAGUCCCUGGGAAAGUUUGUCAUCUUCGAAGUCCCUGUAUUGUUUGAAACAACGUCUGUGUACUUGGUUGGGCGAAUUUAGUCAAGCAGUUGAAAGGUUCAGAAUGAAGAAAAGCAAAUCUGAUCAUUAUGACUGUUAUAAACAAUCUGAGAAUGGCAUUAUAUGUUGUUGUAUAUGUUAAGCAUAUUGUCAUUAGUGGGACUGAUACUUCAGGUAUUUCAUCUCUUGCAUCCUUUCUUCACAGCCAGUUUCGUAAAAAACAUUUAGCGAUACUAAAAUACUUCUUAGGCCUUGAGGUAGUAAGAAGUAAGAAAGGAAUUCUUUCAUAUCUGUUAGAAGUUGUAUUUAUCCCACAUCGUUUGGUUACUAGAUUGUUAUAGUGUAUAUAAGUAGAUUGGACACCCUCUUCCUAUGAGCUAGCUUUUGGGGAUGAGUUCUACUCAAGCCCAUUUAUCAUGGUAUCAGAGCUGGCCUUUUGUCUGCGACGGUGGGUCUGGACCUGGCCCAUUUGCAUAUCACGCUAAGCGUGAGGGAGGGUGUUAGAAGUUGUAUUUAUCCCAUAUCACUUGAUUACUAAGUUGUUAUAGUGUAUAUAAGUAGAUUGGGCACCCUCUUCAUUUGAGCUAGCUUUUGAGAAAGAGUUCUAUUCAAGCCUAUUUAUCAAUAUCAAAGAAAAAUAUGUGCUUGGUUUAUCAUUUGAGAUAGGAAAAUUGAGGGCUAAACAAUGUAGUACUCCAAUGCUACCUAAUUUGCAACUCAUAAUAGAUGGUGAAUUGUUUGAAGUUCCUGAGAGACACCUGACAUGGAAUCUAGUAUAGAAAGCAUGGUCGUGGUACUAAGCUUGAGUGUUUUUCAGAUGUUGAUAGUUAGGACCCAAGAAAGAUCGAAGAUCUAAUUCAUGAUAUUGUGUAUUUGUUGGAAAGAAAUUUAGUCUCAUGGAAGAGUAAGCAGCAGAAUUUAGUCUCACGUUAGAAUGCAGAAUCAAAAUGCAAUGCACAGUUUGUAUGAAAUAAUGUAGAUACAUCAUAUUUUGACUAAGUUAGGCUUUAAGAUUUCAAUUCCAAUCAAAUUGUGGUGUGAUAAUCAAACUGCUCUUCAUAUUGCUUCGAAUCAUGUAUUUCAUGAAUGAACUACGUGCAUUGAAGUUGAUUGUCAUUUUGUUCUUGAGAAAAUUCAGCAAAGUUUGGUUUCCAUAAGAUAUGCGAAGACUGGACAACAAUUAAGAGAUAUUUUCACGAAAGUUCUUAAUGGAGCUCGGGUUGACUAUCUGUGUAACAAAUUGGGCAUGAUUAACAUUUGUGCUCCAGCUUGAGGAGUGUUACAUCCUGAAUAUACAUGUUAGGAAGUUCGAUUAAUUAGUUCUCCUUCCUUGUAUAGGAUUGUAUAUUCUUUCCUAUAAUAGAAUUCGUAUUUUGUGUAUAUAUACAUACUAUUAUAGUGCAUGAAAUAAUAUUGUUUUCUCCCAUUUUCUCUCUAAUUACACCACUAAAAGUCUCGAGGAGUGAUGAGAGUUGAUAUUUUUCUCAGGUACAAAAGUAGUUGAUAACAUGUAAAGGAAAAAAGUAUUCUUGUUACGAUGUAUUGUGUUUGUAAAUCUUUCCAGAUCAAUGUAAUCUUGGAUAACAGCCAUGCUUAUGUAAGAGCAGUUUAGCAAAAGAAUUGAGCAAAACAUGGUGGAUAGUUUCAGUAGUUGACAGAACUUGUAACUUUCUUGUAUUUAUAUCCUUUGCAAACUUAUCAAGGAAUUAGGGAGAAGAUUUAUUCAGUUAUGCUCAUUGUUUUCGUCUUGUUCUUUACUCUACCAUAUCACAAAUACCUAGGACAAGAACAGAAAUAAGACAUACCAGAAUCCCCAUUAAUGCAGUUACACGAGUAAUAACCAGUGGCAGCUUAUUUAGCUGAAAGUCAACAUGAAUACUUCUCUUCUUAAUACUUUCUUGAAUGUCGCCAUAUACCCUCUCAACCCUGAGGUGGGGAGAACAAUGCAAAACUAUUAAUUCCUAUUGCCAGUUAUGUUCAAAUAAACAAAGUGCAAAAAUAAGAUUGUUCACAAUACUGCACUUCAAUGAAAACUUACCACAUCUUUCCUUCACCUUCCAAUAUUUCUGUUAGAAUAAAUCUAAGAGCAUGGUAGAAUUCUACGACUGCAUACUUCAUAUGGUCAUCUCUACAUAUCCUUUCCCACAGCUCAUCUUGUGAAUCUUUGUUCUCCACAGCAAUAUCUUUUGCCAAGAAUAUCUACAUAAAACAUCAUAAUUAACAAACAAAUAAGUCUAAGUUUUUAUACUUCGCUAAAAGUACAUAAUGAUAGAAGAAAGGAGAUGACAAAAGAAACAUUAUUCUUAAUGCUAAGGGAUGACCUUGCUGGCAAGAAGAAAAAGGGGCCACUGCACCAAAGAAAGAUUUCCAGAAUUUUUAGGCAUCAGAAGCAACUCCAUUUCCCUGCAAGGGACAAUUAUGAGAAUCAUCAGCUACAAGUAAAGGAAAAACUGAAAUGCGUAAGAGUAUGUAGUUAAACUUAAGUACAUAGAAAAAGCAAGUUUUGCUUUUACAACUAUUUUCAUCCAAUAGUACCUACAGAAGACAAUUCAAGCACAGAAGAUCAAAAUGGAAUUCCACCAAAGUUUAUAGCACCAACAGAUUGCGGUGAUGCAGAAACUCUGUAGAAGAUACGAAAAAUAAAGUCCCUCCACUGAGGAUUUUCUUGCAUACCUUUUCCUUAACUAAAGAAUACCAUAACUUUCUAUUACCAUAACUUUCUAUUAAGCAUUCCCUUUGGUGUAAACCAAAGAACGCCCUAGAAAAAAAAUACGCAGCAAUGGCAUGCUAAAAGAAAGUUCUAGCCUCCUAAGAAAAAUCACCAAAAAUUCAUUUUAGAUAAUUACACCAUAUUGUCUAAGCAUUUUUAAGUUUGCUAUUUUGUAUGUGAACUUGGUUCUUUAGCAAUCAAGUAAUAUUUUCAAUUGAACAGAAUGUUAAAAUGAAGUACUUUACCCAAUAUAUAUCCCUAUCUCUUUUACCCCGCUCUCUAUUAUAUUUUUUAUCAUUUUCAAUAUUCCAUAUCUCCUUUUACUAUUUCUACUACCACUGAACUCAAAUGCAGAUUUUUUAUGCUUUCUUUAUUCUUUCUUUUUUUCUUGCACUAAGUGAGAAGUAUUGGGAUUUAGGAAAUUAUAGUGUCAAUUAUAAUCAACUUGGAGAUAUAAAACUAAUGGUCCUUUUAUGCAGUUAGAGAUGACAAGAGAAGAAAUGGAGUUUCUUUAAGGAUGCUAAAAUAAGAAAAAAGUAGAGACAGAAAAAAGAAAAAAAGGAGGAAGUGAAAGAGAGGAAUGGAUGGCUAAACCCAGCCAAGAACAUUUCAUAAUGUUUUAAACACUUGAGCGCCAUAAAAUGAAAUUUAGACGUUUAUAUUUUGAAAACAAAAUAUAUUGAAAACUAUGAACAUCAAUGACACAAUUAUCUCUUUUACACAUUAACAAAAUAUGAAGGUAGCAAUUGAUCCUUUAUCUUUCAAAGGAUAUUUGAAAAAGAGCUAUUCUUUGGGACAAAGGUGAUUCUUUUCAUUGUUAUCCUACACAAAAAGGAAGAGGUCCCCUACAAGUGAAGAGACAAACAAUAUUUUAAGUAAAAACUGAAUGGUAACCCUGGCUCAACUAAUUUUUUAUUUGUCUCUUCAAAAUUACACCUUGACUUUUAUGGUCAUAAAACCACUAAAAGUUAAAUCUUAAGAAGUCCAAGCCGAAAAAUAUGAUGUCCGACAGAUUUCACAUACUAAAAAUUUUUAUAUACAUAAUGGGUCAUAAGAGACAUUUUUCACUCUCCUCUCUUUUGCGAUAAAAGAAGAAAAACGAGAAUAUGGACAAAGGUAGCCAAUUAAGCAUACAAGAUAUCUUCUCAAAGUCCAAUAUGACAGCAUUUUAAAUAUUUCAAAAUGACUGUGGCUGUUUGUUUAAUAUUUUCUUUUGGGCAGCCAAAAGAAUAUACAAAACAAUUUUGGUGGCUAACUAAGCAUUCAAAAUACUUUGGGUGGGAAUUUAUUUCAAUUUCAUCUUCAUGGUUAUUCUUUUAGUAAAAAGCAACAAUCGUGUCCUUUGAAAAGGUGAAACAAAUACAAAGAGAGAAACAUUCUCUUAAAAGAUAAAAUAGCGUAAUGCUAGUUCACAUCAUGCCAACUCCUUUUGGAACAUGAGCAAUAAUAUAUUUACUUUAAUUAUGAAACUCUUAUUGCAACCAUUAAAAAAGAAAUUCUUGAUCUUGCACAGAUGCAUAUAUGCAUAGCAUAAGUUCAAUAGUGAAACAGAAUCAUUUUUAGCAACCGCAAUAUAUGUCACAUGAAAAGCUUGUCCAGAUACGAGUAACAUCUACGGAAGUUACGAAAUCCAGUACUUACAGAUUGGUAAUAUAAUCUUCCUCUCUUAGACUUUUUAUGAUCUCAUUCCAAAAAGGAGAGAAUCUAGAAGCAUCAAUCUUUCUUUUCUCCACAGCCUUCAGAAACAAACAAAAUGAGCUUACCAAAUUCCUUUAAUCAACUAUGCUUCAGAAACUACAGUAAUGUAGACAAAAUAAAAUAACUAUGGCAUCGAGGUUGGCACCAGCAUAGAGUAGCAUCAAGUAUUAGCUCACUUUAAGUGUAUCUUCAAGCACAAACAUACAAAGAACAAAAUUCAAACUUCAACAAUUAAAAGACACGAAAAAAUAAUUUCUUCCACAUUCAGAGGACACAAGAAGGCGCACACCAACGGACUUUCAUGAAAUAAUCAAAUAAAUAAAUAUACAAGUUAAAAGUAUUGCAAGAACUUCAACAAUUCAAUAGAGAUUACGAUCACAUAUAAUUCAUAAAGGACUAACUCGGGGAACUUACAAACUUAUUACAUUUAUAGUUUUGUUCACAAUAGAAAUUUUUACGAUUUUAGUAAUUUAGUUGGCUCAGUUAAUUAUUCUCCUAGUACUUUAACUAUUGCUAAAGUAUUUUAGGAUUUCCAUUAUAGUAAUAUCUAGUCCAAGUGUAACUAGGGUCUUUCUUUUACCUUUUUCUUUUUUCCUAUACUUGUUGGAAAAAAGAAUAGCUCUUGAUUGUAACCUAACUUUUAUACAUAUAUAUGUAUAUGUAAAACUUAGGUUACAAUCAACAACUUUUUUAGGGAAGGGGUGUUUGCUUUAAGCCAUUGAUGAUUCUUGCAGUCUUCUUUGCUUAAAGCUUCUUUUGAUAAUCAUUUGUUGAGAAAAAUAUUGCUUAUCAUCGUCUCCUAACGAUUAAAGGAUGUGGCAUCUUGAUUGAGAGGAAGAGCGUUGCAACUCAAUUUGAAAGGGUAGAGGGAUUUACAUAAAAGAACAAAAAAUGGGAAAGAAGAUACUGAAAAACUUUUGGAAAAAAAAAAAAAGAUACUGAAAACUGUAAGACGUAGAAAUCUAUCAAUAUUCAGUUAUUCAUUCACCCCAAAAGACAAUAAAGGCUAAACCAGCGGGAGGGUAAUGGCUGAAAGAAGAAAAAGCUUAAAAAGGAUUGAGCCUCAAGAAAGCUCUAUCUAUUUGAUAUUGUCUCUCUUUCAUAUAUAGCAAAUUCUUUCCUUUCUUUUAUCAUUCCCAAUUCCAUCCUUCAAACAAUUUCAAUUAAAGAUAUAAAUAACCAUUAUUGGCUCUAGAUAUGGCUGAAGAUAGAAAUCAGUUCAAUGAAAAUAAGAAAUGUUGAUACAAUCCCAUGGUAACCGUAUGCCACAAAGUUUAGUCAUUAUGAAGCCAUGCUAAAUGAUACCAACGUCCACUUAUAAAAAUGUGCUACCAAGAGCUCGAAAUGAUCAAAGAUGGUGGAAAACCACCUAAGGCCUGCGGAAGUCCUUAAGCAUGUUGGACUAUUCAUUCCGUUUUUUUUAAGGGUCUCGACUGUUUUGUGCAAAACAAAAAAAAAGAAAUUCAUAACUCUAAAUUUGACUCUCUAACUUCUAUACAUAUUCCUUAAAGAUCUUUAAGACUUACACGUAACCCACUCUUGUUCUUAUCAGUCAUCUGCAAGUUGGUAUUAAAAGGAAAACUUUUACCUAGUUUUAUGGGCAUAAUGUGGAAUUUGGCACAACCUCUUCCACAACAAUGAUCAUGAAUUGCAUACUCUUUCAAAAGUAUAUUCUUCGAUCAUGAGCCUAGUAGAAAUUAUGUUCUUGGAGAUUUCACAAACAAUUAGUAUAUUAAUGGGAUCUUCCUAAGUUUGAAAAGAAUCCUGAUCUGGAUGGAAAUUUCUUUAUGAAAGAUUCAAUGGAUAUUUCAAACUCGACAUCUUGAACAACAAAACAUAUUGUGGCAUAGUUAUUGAAUCAAGUACAAUCAAGUUUACAAAGGGAGACAUAUAAGUCAAUCAUUCAUCAUAAAAAAUGAGAAAAUACCCACGCGAUCAACAAAAUCAAGUGAAUUUAAAAAGUGGAAUUCAAGAGAUAAUCAAUCAGGUAAUAAAAUAAAAAAAAAAUUUCUCUCCGAAAUAUUUAAUUGAAAUUAGAUUUAUUUUCUCUCACAAAUACAAAGAAACUUUAAAUGGAUUAGGUGGACUGUUGAAACUUUGCACUAAAGCAAAAGUUUAUAGAUUUCGAAAACGUUGGAUGCCAAGAUAAGUUUGGACAAAUUGAAAAGACAACAAAUUAAGUUAUUUAGAAAUCAGAGUUACUUUGGCGCAAGUUUCAUGAAGAGGAAGAACAUAGGCUUGAAUUAUAGCAAUCAACGCAUUAAAAACUCCUUAGGGUUAAAGAAAUAGCAUUGGAUGUUACUAAGAUUCAAGACAUUCAAUUGAAACUAUUGAAAAUCAAGAAAUUGAAGAUAAUUGAAGAAAGAAAACCACAUCUAUUUGGUGGUAUUAUUGGAAAACCCAGAAGAGCAAUAAUCAAUAGGUAGUUCAAAUUAAUGAUUUCAAAGUUAAACAAUAACCCAAAAGUGCCAUGUGACUCUUGCAAUUUUUCAAAUACUCGUCUGCACUAUAAUGAUUUUUUCAAAAUUCAUCAUUUCAAACUUACGAUGGCAAUAUUAUCCAUUACUAUUGAAAGCCACUCCAGGAAAAUUCCUAAGGGCACCAAAAUAUUUAGACUACUUAAUAGUUUCAAACAGUUCUUAGUUUGAAACUAUAAACUCAAGGUUGAAUUUUCUUCAAGAAGAGGACUCGGACAAAUGGCCCUUUGUGAAUAUGUCAUAUGAUAAUUACACUCUUUUUAUCACAGAAUCAGCAAUCUUAGUUAUUUCAUUAAAAUUUUUAUUCUCCUCGUAAUUCAAGUAUUCCUCAACUGUUUUAAACUUUUAUCAUAGUAUUUCUAAUCCAAGUGUAACUAGGGUUUUUCUUCUACCUCACCAAUAGAUUACUUAUCUACUUCCUUCAAUAUAUAGAAAGGCCAAUUUCAGUAGAUUCCAGUUGUUCUUAUUCGCGUAGAUUUCAUAUUUAUACUUUUGCAGAUUAAAGAUUAUUUAAGGUUUACAAGUGAUCUAGCCUUGCUUUCAUUCAUACAUCCGAAAAGGUGAUGUUGAAAUUCCAGGUGAAUUAGAAAGGUUUAGGUGUAGCUAGACUAACCUGACUAGAAGAGCUUUCAGAUGUCCUGCAAAAAAAUGGCCGUCUAAUGUAAGCUUGCAUAACUUAAAAACAGCAUAAUGAAAGCUAACCAACUAGUUUCAGAUAAGGAAAAAAACAAAAAGAUAUUAAAUAAGUAAUGAUCAUUUUUUAAAUCAUGGGGGUGUAAGAAACCUUGCCUGUUGCGCAGUGGAACAUGAAGAGUAUUCAUAAAGGCCUCAGGAAACUCCUCAAACAGUGUGUGAACAGCUUCCAAAGAUCUAAUCUGAAAAAUUAUGGCAGGACAGUGUAUUCAUGCAGAAACUUAACCCACAAAACACAAAGAAAAACAAGAGUUACUAAAAUACUUACUUCCCCAAGGCGGUCUCUUGCUCCAAGCAAGAAACCCCAAAUGGCAGAUAUGACAGUGUAGAAUAUAUGAAUAUCCAAAAGAUAAAUCUGUUGUAAAAGGAAAAGAAGCAAGAAAAUAAAUUCUAAAAGUUAAGCUAAAGAAAUGAGAAAUGCUGUCCACAUAAAACGCGUCAUUGGUUAUGCAACCUACUCCUUACUGGAUUUACUUAUUUAUUAAUUGUUUAUGUAAUUAGUUAUUCCUUGAAUCCCAAAUGCAGUGCAGACUCUUUUCUGUCUGUUACAGAAGGAACGAUGUUGCAACAAGUAUUCAUGAAAAUUUAGCAGCAUAACCAAAGCUAGUAGAGUCAAUUUAGUAUUAGGAAACAGUGAAGAUCUUCUUUGGGGUGCUACAAAGAGCAGUGGUAAAGAAAAUUGCUGAAAUUGAGUUUAUUGCAUAAAGAAUGGAUUAAUAAAACACUAACAAUUAAUUUUAUUUGGAUUUCAUCUUUGCUUGAGUUAUAACACGUGGCCCUGGCUAUGGGCUGGUCUCAACCCGGAACUUGAUUGGUCAAAACCAGAACCAGGCUUGAACCAGAACAGGAACCGGAGGGACCGAUUCAGGGCCAGUUCAGUUAGAACUCAAAACGGCAGUUCCAGUUCCAACCUGUGAAAAAGAAUUAUUUAUUAACUUUUACUAUAUAAAUAAUUUUAUUUAUUAUCUCUCUUAGAGUUACUCUCUAAAAUUAUUAAUUAUCUAUAAACUUUUUAUUUCUCUAGAUUAUCUCUCUAUAAUUAUUUAUUAUCUAGAAUUAUCUCUCUCUAAAAAGAAAACUACUACAUCAAUGAGCUGAUUAUCAUCCACAAAAUGAUAACAAUUACCAAGUCUAUAUGCCCAAAGCAACAGUAAACAUAUUGAGGAACAAUGAUUGAUAUGAGGAUAAAUACUUUUCUUCUCUAAAAAUAUCUGAGUUACAUGUUUUAAAACAUAUUUACAAGAUCAAAAACUUCUGGAAAUAAUUUCACCAAACUUCAGAUUUAAUCAAUUACAUGUAAAGCAGGGGGAGUUUAAUACUGUAUAAGAUUACUGAAGAGAAGAAGAAUAAGGAGUUCUUAAUGAUAUAUAUCAUUUUUCAACAUAAAUGCUACUUACAGCAACAACUGGAGCCCACAAAGUGACAACAGUCAAGGCAUUAUGAUUAUCUGCAAGCAUAGCUCAUAGAGUUCAGAAGCAGCUAAGCACUCAUGUAAUAAUAGACAGAAAAAUGUCAGAUUAAACAAUUUUAUAAAGGAUGGAUGCAUAAAAGAAAGCCUAGUCUCAAUAACCCUAAGAACUGUUACAGUAAAAUAUUAUACAUCAAUAACUAGCCAUUAUAACAAAAUUAUAACUUAGAUCAGUCAAAAAAAUUGUCAUCCAGUGUAACAAGGUCAUCUGCAUAUUGCUUCAAAAUAGGGAAUUGGGUGGAUAAACCACAAGGUGAUAAAAUUAUCUCCCAAGAGUAUUGUUGCCAUAGUUGUUAAUAAAGGCACAGGGCGCAUCAAGGCGUAAAGGGAUUCUGGACUUAGGAGCAGGUGCACACCUUACCGAAGCAAGGCGCAAAGAAAGAUAAAGAUAAAAUCUCAUACAAUAAAGCCAAUAAAACCUAUAACAUAACCCAUGCAUGAAAUCAUUAAAUAUAAAAUAAAAUACAUGAAUAACCACUAUGAGAAAACAUAUUCAAGAGACAUAAAACCAGAAUUAUAGUCCUAAUAAGUAACUCUAAUUCCAAAAGCAUCUUCCAUAAGACAACUAAUCAUCAUCAUUAAGCUCAAUACAGUCAUCUUCCUCUUCAUCAAAUUCCUCAUGAUCAAUUCAAUUUCCUCUUUCUCAUCUUCGUCAAAAUUAAUCUCUUCCCCAUCUUUAAGUACUAGAGGAGUAUUAGCCUUCUUUUGAGAAAAUGCUUUUGCCUUACUAUUUGCUAGGCCUAGCAACUGAUGUGGAUGAGGACAUGUUUAGGAGAGGGAGAAGUCGAGAGAGCAGCUACUUUUUUAUUUGGAAAGGCGGAGAGGCUGCUAUAAUCACUUCUUGAAGUGAUUAGGUGUGGAUAGGCAUAUGGUACAUCCUAUUUUUAUUUAUCAUUGAACAUCCAAUUCCAAUCAGAAAUCAAAAAUAAAUAAUUUGGUCUAACAUUUGUGAGGCACGCCUUAUUCGAACCUCAUCAAUUACUCUAAGGUGUGCACCCUAGGGCCUAGGGGCACACACCUCGGUUAAGUUGCCUCCCUCAAAGACUUUGACAUAAAGGCUUGAGCCUCAUGUGCAUUAAGCCUAAGGCGCAACUUCAACAACUAUGAGUAUUGCCAAUAACAAAUCCUAUAGCAACAAAUAAAUAAAAAAAUAGCCACCUUUAAAACACUAGAGGAAGUACAUUAAAUGCAUAACAAUUUAUGGUCAUGAUAACUGAUUAGUAACACAAGUUUCACCACAAUGAUAAAAGAAUAGGUUUAACGCAGAAUUAAAAUGCAAAAGAAUUAGCUUUACGUUUGGAUACAAGAUCAUGCCACGAAUAUUGCAGAUUAUCUGUCAUGCCCACUAUAAGCUUUGUUGGAUCAACUAAUGGCUUGAUCUGUCAAAAAGGAAUCCAGAAAGAAAUCAGAAAACAAGACAAAUAUAUAUAACUUAUCAAAUACAAUGUCACUAACCAGUAGAAAGUAGGCAAAUGAGAACUUUGCACUCAAAAUAACAAGCCAAAAAAGCAUAUACCUGCAUAAUAAAGACAGAAUGAUGUAUUCAAAUUUGUAAAUUCAAACUGUGAAUGGAGAUCAAAAUAAAUAAGCUCCACACACACACAUAUAUAUGUGUGUGUGUAUACAGAGAACGAAUAUAUAUGUAUAUGUAGAGAGAGAGAGAGAGAGAAAUUACUUGAGGAAGUCACUGGUCCUUUCGUACAUGCCACGCCCAACAUAGUAACGCUCCUUCAAAAGACCCAUUACAUAAUUAUUGCUGAUUGUUGAAAAAUACUUCUAAGUAAUUAAAAAAAUAUAAACAUAUAAUGAAACAAGAAGCCGCACAAUAAAAUAAUAGGAACAAGACCACAAGCAUAUAGGAAUAAAAGAAUUAAAAGAAAAACCUGACGCAUCCACUUCAAGAAACGGAUUACAGACCAAUGAUCACACUGAUUAGUCAUGUGGUGGCAAGCUGGUAUUCGCAUGAGGAAACUAAUAAAAAAUUGCACACCAGCAUAUAUGCCAAUAAUGAUCACAUACAGUCUUAAAAUGACAGAACUUGAAUUUUGUUCACUCUGUUCCUGGAGUGCUUUCCUGUAUUUCAGAGAAGAGAAAAGUAAUCUAUCAUUCACAUAUGACAAGCAUGACAUAAGUUGAGGAAUGAUGAUGGGUGGAAAACAUACACAUAAAGAAAGCAUAUGAAGACUGAAGCACUGCUAAACCAAGCAAAUCGCAAAAGAAUUCGAGAAACAGCAACACGUCGUGAUGUAGAAUAAGCACCAUACAUCAUGAGAACAUCUAAUACACCUGCGUCAAUUAGUUACCAACUUCAGCAACUAAAUCACAUUAUUUAAUAGCAAGCAGUAACAGACAAUCUCACAGUGAUCAUUCAUGACAAUUCACAUAGCUAUAAGAAAUUAACAAAUCUAACAGAACAUGAUAACAUCAGUUAUUGCAACAAGGGUCCAUACUCUCAAAAAACUUCAUCACCACAAAUGUUGGACCAAGACUCAGAACUUCCCUCAGGGUUUUGGAGUUGAAGCGUUCAUUAUUAAAAGCAAAGAUGGUGAGUCCCUGUAACAGAGAAAAAGAUGCUUGAGCCAUAAGAAUGGUAAGACUUCAUCAGUGAACAAGACAAAAACUCAAUUGUAUGUCAUCAGAGGGGAUGAGAAAGGACGAGCUGAAGCAAAGCAUAGGUGAUGUGUGCAGCAUGUGAUAUUUUUUAGCAUGCGGAGUACAAAGGAUUUUGUGCAUGACAGCAAAAGCUGUUGAAUUGCACAAAUUAAAGAAAUAAUUUCAAAGAAGCUUUUAAUGAGACAAGCUAACCUGAAACAUCAUAACGAGAAAAAUCCAUAGACGGUGGAAACUAUGGUAAAGAUGAAGAAAUGUCCGAUGCUCAACAAACGAAGUUUUGCCUCGACGUUGACUUCCAGCAGUUUUUAGCAGAUACUAUAAGAAUUUAGAAGAGAAGUUAGGUUUCAUGAUCCAAAUGCGAUUAACAUACCAAAAAAACAAGAAAAAAGAAAAGAAUAGAACAAAAAAUUUACAAAAAGAAAACAUCAUAUGGAAUACGACUGAGUACUUUGAUGAAACACAACUGUACAAUGUUUCAUAAUGGAAAUUCUGGCUGUUACUGAGCAUUUGUAAACAAAGAAAACUGAAUAUGAAUAAGGUUUACAGAAAUUGGCUGUAUAGAUUUAUUGGGAUAAACUAGAAGCCAUUAUAACAGAAAGGUUGACAAAACUAAGAUGGUCCCUAUGCUAAUACUAAGAAAAUGUUUCUUCAGAUGCAUCAGGCAUUCUAGUUAAUAUGCCACCUCAUAAAACCUGAAGGGACAUAAUUAAAGUAAUUAUUUUCACUACAAUUCUAGAAAAUUGGUUUUUCAUAUAUAUUAAACAUUCCAGCAUUGAUAAGCCACCUAAUAGAAACCAAAAGCAACAAGCCAAAAAGGUUGACUAAGACAUAUUGAUAUUAGUUAAUUGUGACCUAGAAUUCUUUCACCAAGGCCGAGCAAUAUUCUCAUCCAAUAGAAUUUUUGGAUGCAAUCUCAGAAAAAUCUAUGAUAUAAAACUCUAAUUAUUGCCAAAUGAAUGGCAUUCUAGAAGCUCUCACUCAAAGAAGGACUUCCUCUACUAAGAGCAAAGUCGGUGGACAUAUUUCAUGUCCUCCUACUGAUGUUCUUCUAGUGGGUAUAUUUAAGUUGAAUGUUGGACAACCGAAAAGUAAACUCCACCCUCCCAAAUUUAACCAUUUGCUGCAAAAGUCACAAAAUCAUGAACUCGGAUGAAAAAAAGGGUCUAGCAUAAUGAUGGCCAACAUAAAAGUCACAGCUUUCUUUCUCUCCUGCUUUUUCUGUUUCCUCUCUCUAAACUCAAAAAUCUAAAUAAUAUUAGAGGAGAACCAUAACGGGAGCAAGGGCGAGGACAAGGUUUCUCAUAAAAAGAUUAGGACCAUUAAUUGGAUAGAGCUAACUCGAAUGCGAUGUUUGGUAAGUGUAAAUAAUGAGGGGAAGAAACUAAGGGAAAGUAUCUGAAAAAGAGUUAGAAGGUGGUCCCCGAGCAAACAACUAAUAUACUCUCACCACACCCACNNNUUUUUCAUUUUAAUUUUUCCUUCACUUCACAAACAAGGAAAAAAUUACUACUCAAAUUUAUUUUCCCCACUUAUAAUGUUUCCUUCAUUAUUUUCUAUUUUUCAAACAUAGUGGAAAUUUAAGAAAAUUCUGUUGCUUUAUGGGAAAUUGAUGGUUCUUAGUAUGGCCAACAAAAAGAGAUUUGAAUUUGGCUAAGUAUGCAACCCUAGCACCAUUACAAAAUUUAAUCAAACCUUCACAUAUUUGUUUAGCAAGGGCCUACCUGCGAUUUCUGAGAAUAAAUUCCCAACAAAUACCAAUAAAUGGACACAUGUAGACCAAAGGAGACCAAACUAACAAACAUUCAUAACAGACUAAAGAGUUUCAAGAAUUAGUGUUUCCCUUAAUUUCUCCUGUUAAUGCCACCAUACUAAUGCAAUCAUUUAGUAGAUAAGUUUUAAUAUAUUCCAAGGGCUACAAAAGACGCCCCUAAGGUUACUUAAUAUACACUGAUCCUUGUCGUUAUAAAGUUAGAACUUUUAGCCCCUAAGGUUUUGGUCUCUCUACACUUAAGUCGUUGCUGAUAAGAGUAUAUGAUUUUUCUUAUACUUCAGUUCACUCCUCCACACUUGAAAUUUGACUAAAGUUUAAUCCUAAAAUGUUAAAUCUAAUUGCAGUUCAGUCCUGACUUUUUAUGUUGUAAAAGACUUUAGCCCUCAAAAUUAUGUGCUUUUUAUCAAUCAUAGUAGAAGGACAAAAAAUGCUAAUUCUGAAACAGCAGAGACUAAAAUGCAUAUCAAGGUAAACCUCAGACGUGUUUUACUUAACCCAAAUCCCAAUUGUUGUUUGCAACUUCUAAGUUGGAACAGACAUAAAUCUCCAAGAAACUUCCUUCACCUUUUGCAACAACUAAUUGAUUUGCAGUCAAUUUGAAUCAAAUGCUAAUCAGCUGUACUACUAUAAUGAAUUUCAGCACCAAACAGAAAAACCAAUUUCUCACAUGGGCAAGUUUCUAUAAUGGUAUUCAGAUUGCUUUCAAAUAUUGAAAAGUAGAAAAGAAAGAAGCUCAAUGUGAUAAUAUGUGCUCCUUGGCAUAGAGUGAAUCAAGAAGUUAUUACCAAACAAAAUCCUAUGUAUAAAAUACAAUCGAAAUAAGAUAAAAUAGAGAGAAUGAGAGUAAAAAAAUUCAGUGAUGCCACACAAGGAAGACUAACAAAAAUAAGCAGUAAUUUCAAAUGGCCUGUUAUUCCAUGGAAUGCUAUGGGCCCAUAUCAUGAUACAAUGAAAAAUACUGCUUUAGGACCUUAAGAGAGUAGAAGACAGACUGCAGACAUCAUAUGCCUGCAUUCUAAACAGAAAAUUCAUUAGAAGCAUCAGUGGCAGUGCUUCUAAGUUCCAAUCUGAAGUCUGUACAAGGAACCAGUGACACCAGUCCCUGAUCACAAUAUACAAGUUUAAGACACUGUAGGAAGGAAAAUCUACAAAAGAUACCAGCAACAACCCAAAUAAGAACCUCAUUGAAAAAAUUUCUUUGACCACAGAUUGCAGAAAGCAGAGGCCUGUCUCUCAUCCAUGAAGGCAUAAAUCAUACUAUAAGUACAAAAAGAAUAAACAGAACAGGUAGUCUCCAGAAAUUUGCAAUGUGCUCUGUUACAUACAGUUACCUCUAUGUUUCAAAAAGAAAAUAUCUUUUUAAAAAACAAGGCACUAUGGUUACUGAACGGAAAUACUAAUCUGGGAAAUACAAAUUCCAGAUUACUACCACGCCAGAGAUAAAUAUUCUUCAAAAUAUUAUGAUUGCAAAGAUUGGUGGUAUUCUGCAACAACUUGCAAUCAGAUGAUUAAAGCACCAAGUCCUAGAAAGCUUAAAGAUGCUGAAAUGGGGAUGGAUGAUAAUGCACAAAGCUCAAUGCAAUCAAACAACAAGGUUUGAAAGCAACCCACACGGAAUCAAACAAUCAACAAUAAAAUUAGCAGUGGACAAGUUAUGAUUUUGUGAACCUUUGUCCUUGGUUUGGGUUUCUGGAAAAAGGAUGAGCUCUUCCGCCAUGGCCAACUGAGUUCAAAGCAAUGAAGUGACCUGGAAAAUGGAAGCAAGAAUAAAAAAACCAUUAGCUAGAACAAGGAAGAUUUUAGAAUACUUCAAACCUAGUACCAGGUGAACUAACUUUGAGGUACCAAAACUAGGUGGCAUAUACUUGCAAUUUAAUUUGAACAAAUUUAUAGUUCUAUAGAUAUGUUAUAGCUUACUAAAGUUUAAUUAUUAUUCAACGUGGUUGAAAUGGAGGAAAAAUGUGCAUUUUUACAAAAUUUUAAGCCGAACCAUUUAAAGUACUGCCAUAUCAUAUAUAACAUGACAAUAACACCAAGCAAUAAGUUGAUUCUUUUAUUUUACUCGUACAAAUUGCUGUAACAGUUCAUUUCACAUUAAGAAUUGCUUACAAUAGAUUACAAAUAAAUUUAUUUCGAUGAAUUCCAUAAAACUCUGAAAUAGUUGGUAGAAGACUACCCAUGUUUGAAGAAUCUUACCAGAAGUACUCAUUAAAAUCAUCAUAGUUUCUCCAAGCAGAAUGAGGUGCUCGUCCAUUCUCAUUGUUUCCCGCUUCCUAUGUGUUAUUGAAGAUAAAUAUAAAUCAAAUCACAAUGUCUUCUCAAAAAAAGAAAGAAAAAAUAAAGCACAAUGCAAACUUAAAAUGCAAUCACCAAUGAUAGUAUUGUAUCAACAGGGUAAUAAUUCAACAAACCUAAAGCUGGUUUUUAGGUGCAGAGGUAGGAAGCUUUAUCCCAAACAGGAAGAACUGCUGAAACUUCUAAAUCAUUUAAAUUAACAUAUCUAUAUGACAAGAUAAGCUUCACAUGAAUAUGCCAUAUGCAAUCACCACAUGUAGCAAACAAGUGACCAGGUUACAAAGGCCAAUAUUACAAAAAUAAAGCCUAAUUGAAUAACUUGGCCUUAAUUUAAAAUAUAGACUUUAUUUUUCCCCUCAUAGUUCCAAUGUCAGGUCAUGUAGUAUCAAGUAAGGUAAGCACAGAGUACUAUUUAUUUUUGCUUAGAGUUCUAUGCGCCACAGCUGGGGUCCUUCAUCCUUACAGUUCCAGUGCCGGUUAGAGAAAAAAACAAAAAGCCCUCCCUCCUUAAGAAGCUACUGAAAUAAGGAUCACCAAGCUAAAAAGCUAGUAAGCUAAAGCUUUCUUUAUACCACUCACUACAGAUAAAGAAGAAAAAUAGAGGAGGAACUAUUUGAAUUGAGAGAGGCACUCUAUUAGGAAAAGCUGCUUUGCUUCUCUUGCUGCUGCUCCUCUAGUUCUAGAUAGUCUAAUGGGGAUCAGUCAGGCUAUCAUUUCAAGAGGUCUAAUGUUGCUUUCUACCUUCAAUCCACAUUUAAUAUUACCUUAGGCAAUCAAUCUGCUUGAAAGCUUAUAUCAGUGCAUCUUUUAGCAUCCAAUAGGAUACAAGGUAAUCCAUCCAGUCCAAAAACCAGUUCCUAUAGCUAAUUUGUUGGACUUGUGCGCCACCAUUUUCUUUUCUAGGAAGGGGCAGUAUCAAGUAUAGUACCAUCAGUCCCUGGCUCUAAUGUUGAACCACUAAGUGCCUUUUUUUAAUGUCUUGUCAGAGUACACUCCAAUUACAUAUUCAUAUGUAAACUCACAGAAUAUAAAGCUAAGACAGAAAUUAAUGCGGUUAAUUAUACAUACAGAAGAACAUAGUCUAUGUCAAAUUGCAAAGCAACUUUCUCUAACAGCUCAAUACAAACUUUCUCUGACAGCUCAGUACAAGCAGCAAUAGUUCUUACUAGUUUCCUCCUUAAUGGAAGGGCAAUUAUUUGAAUUCAAAAGUCUAUUUUCUACAAAUGCUAUUUAAUCAUUAUUUGGAUUUAAAAGUCUAUUUUCCAUGAAUGCUAUUUCACAUCUGAUGUCAUCAUAUUCCUUAAUUGUUAGUCCAGGCAUUCCUUCUUAAGUAUGUUUUUGAGAGAAACAAGAACUGAAUAAGGAGUAGCUCAUAAACUUUAGCUACCAUCAAUUUAUACAAUAUUUAAAUACAUACAUAUAGCAAAUAAUGCUAGCCCUACUAUGAAUUUGUAAAAAUAAGCAAAAUAACUGAAAUUCAUUCUCCAACAUAUAUUUAACGAAAUAUAUAUAUGACAAUACUCUUAUCAUAAGAAAUAAAAUGUGAUUUUCUGGUCAUAAUUCAGUAAUGGUCGUAACAAUUUUUUCCAUAUUGAAAACACAAUAUUUGGAAUUAAGUUUUAUGUUACAAAUUUGGAUUAAUUGAAUCUUAAGAUUUAUUCCAAAGGAAAACAAAAACAAUGUAUAGUGCAAUAGCUUCCUUUUUCUAAACUUAAUAAGUGGAUACAUAAAGGCCAUAAAAUUAAUUAGUAUUCUUCUUCCAAGGAAAACCUACGAAUCAUUGAUCAUGAAUCAUUCCAUAAUGGUAAGUAUUGUCUGUAUCACUCAGUCACAGUUACAGAUGCUACUACCGUAAAUCUGAAAUUGACAGCAACUUAAUAGGUAACCCCUCUCAGUCUGCCAAGAUUCCUGUGAGCCAGAAGAUAUGAGACACUAAGGCCAUCAUUCAAACACUGGUCAGAACUAUAUGCUUUGCCCAAGAUGAUAACUUUCAAAUUAAUAAUGGAUUAGGCUUGCCAAUGAAGUCAAACAAAAAAAUCUCAAUCCACAAAUGUUGGGAGAUGAACCAAAGGAAUAAAUAUCUUCCACUUCUUAGUGCAUUCACCAGAUGUUCUAAAACAAUGCAUUAGAUCAUAUCACUAAAGGGAAACAGGAACUUAUGUGUAAUCACAUGUCACAGAUAAAGUUUAGCAGAAUGUCAACAAGAGUUAUAUCCAAAAGGCAAAAGAUGGGGGGUCAAAUAUAACACUUACCGCUGCAACAACCUCGUAUAGGGGAGUAAUAACAUUAUCAAGGAAAGACACGCCAUUCUCAGAAUUGCAACUAUUUGCUGGCUGUGCACUUUGCUGUCUCAAAAUCUCAUCCAUCUCUCUCACCAUCUGCAUGUCAAUUCUCAAGUUUAAGCCUUAAUGUCAUUAUGGAAAAAAGGGAAAACAUGAGCCAACCAUUUGGAAUAUUGCAACAGUGACAGAAAAGAAUUUGAAUAACAGAAAUAAGAUCAAAAUGGUAAAAGAGUGUUGAUGGAAAUUUCAGCAGAGCUAGAAAAUAAGGGAAAGAAAAAAAACAAAUAAAAGAUAAAUUCUGAGUAAAAAACAUUCAUAUCCAGUGCAAAGUAGCAAAAGAUAAGUCCAGAGAACCCAAUGAUCAUUAACUCUUGGAUUGACUUACAUGAUGAAAUAUAUAGCACAAGCAUUCUGGAAGGAAUCUAAUAUUAGCAGCUUCCCCCCAUAUCAGGAAAUAUAAAGAAAGGAAGAGUAAUUUCUUUUCCUUGCUUACAGACUCCAAACUGCACACCAUUUUGAUACAUUAGUUUCAAUUGUUAUCAUCAGUCAUGAAAUGAAAAAGAAGAAUAACUACUAUUUCACAGUGAAAGAGAAUGAAAAUAAGUUUAGAAGUCCCUACUUGCUCCAAACAGGUUGAAUGUUUAAAUAGCUGCACCAUUUUGUGUAAUUUUCCAGUGACUUUAUGAAUACUCUCUGUACCGCAGCCUCAUCUAAUUUCUGCACAAAAUCAACACAAGUGGUAACUGGAGGAUGACAUCAUUUAAAGGAAAUAAAUCAAAAGAAAAGAAAAGGCUGUUCAGAGCCUUUGGAUAAAUUAAAAAACUUCAGGAGAUUAGCUAAUUAGCACAAUAAAACAACUACAUGCACCAGCAGUUUGAUGUAUGUAAAAUUAUGUUCCAGUUGAGUUUAUUUAACCGUAGCAUUAGUAUUGCAGGUGAUGCCCUUACGACCAAGCACACCUUGAAGAUAACACAUUCACAAUUUUCCUGUUCUAUUAGGCAUUAUUUUUACAAUUUUUUGACAGAGAAUUUAUAUUUAUUUUAUAUAAACACUAUAGCAGUUAAAAACUGGGCUUGCACUUAAAAAACAAGAAAAAAUUCCUCAGGAGAAAAUAUACAGGAAGGAUCAGGAAAAUCCAAAUAAUACAAUACACUGGCAAAACUUUGCAAAGUUACAGAGAACAAGAAAAGGUUGGCAAAGGGCAACCUGACAAAGUCAUUAAGGAUCCUCACUAGAUAAAUAACUGAAACUUGUAAGAACAUGUCAGACGUACCGGUUCAGUUUCAUCAGGUAUACGAAGGCGAGAUUGCUCAUUUGCAAGGAGGUGAACUACAUGUUCCCGCUGGUUAGAUACAUUGUCUUUCUGAUAGCCAUUAAGUUCAAAAAUUACAAGCAAGAAAUUUGUGAGUCAAAAGGAUGAAAUGUUGAAGAGAAUCACAUAAGUUAAGAACUAAGAGAUAUUGUUUCCAGAUAUUUUCAAAGAUCAGACACAUCACUAACUGCUCAAUAUGAACAUUUAAUCAACGCUCUAUCAUUCCCUUCUUUUCACAUUCCACAGACACAAUAACAAAGUCUCAUAACUUGAGACAUGUACAACUAUAUAAGUGUGCAAUAACUGUUCCCCAUACCAAUAUGGAACCAUCAACUUCAUUUUAUUUCAGAUUUAAUUCAUUACCUGCAGAGAAAGAUAACCAUUGAUUUAUUCCCUUGUUUGCACAAGUAAGAUGGUAGGAUGGGCAUAUAAAUCAUCAGAGUGCAAUUUGAUUGCAUUUCAAAUCAACUAUUAUAGGCCAACAAGUGGAUUUUUCCAAUUUACAUCAAGAACUCCAAAUACAGUUGAAAGAAAGAAAAAUAACACCAACAUAAUCAACUAAAGAUUAAUGACUCUGAAAGUUUAAAAUGGAUUAACUGUUAUUACUGCACCCUCAACUUAAAGGUAAGCAUGAAUCAGAAGCCCAACAAAGAGAGACAGGAUCGAGAGGCUAUCCAAACCUACUGCUCUGUUCCUCAAACAUAGCAUUGCUGGAAAUUCAAUUAGAAAAUUAUUUAGUUUCAUAUCAGGAAAGGCUCUCCUAUUUUUUUAGACCACAGAGUUUUUUUUAGUAAAAAAGGAUUUGGAAACUGUAAGGCCUUGUUUAGUUCUGGAAAAUAUUUUCUACUUUCAUUUUCUAGUUUCCUUCUCCAUUUCUUAGUUUUCCACUUAUUUAUUUUCCAAACUGAAAAUAACUUCUUAAAAAAGGAAAAAGAUAAAGAAAAAGGGUUUGACUUCAUUCCUUAGAUUUAAACCUAGAAAUUGCAAAUAAUUGACGCCGAAGUAGAAAAGCGUAUUUUCCGCUUUGUUCCAUUGCUUUGUAUUUUAAAAUGAAUUUGAAAAACUAAUAGGGAUAGUUUUUUAUUAGCAGUGUAAAUAUAGAAAAUUUGAAAAAUACUUUUCCAAUUUUCUUUUUAAGAAAAAUUUUCAACUAAACACUAAACUCUGUUUUCUAAUUUUCUCGAAGUAAUUUUCUAGAAAACAGGCUAAAUUUUCCACAACUAAACAACCCCUAAGCUUUCAGUCAAACCCAGGGCCACGUUUUCUUCUUAAUUAAUGUAUAAUGUUGAUAUUUAAAUACGGAGAUGCUUUUCUCAUUCCAAUCGCCUCCCUAACAAGCUAAACUGUCCGAAGCCACCUAAACCUAGGUAGAAUGGUAUGUGGAUUACCACCCAAUUCUUCCCGGUUCCCUAGAAAGCAGAGACAGAGAAAAAGAGCAGGAAUAACCCGAAAACAACUAAAAAAAGAAAAAGAUCAAGUAAAAAAGAUCAACCUCAUAAAUCACAUUGCAAAAACAAAGUACAAACCUGAAACCCAAACAUAUAAUGGAGAAAAUCAAGCAUAUCAGCAUGCCUUGCAGCAGGAAUAGAAAAGUCAGCAGGCAGCUUUGGCAGACCUGGGAAAUAUUUCAAGGCUGAAACUGCUGCUUGCACCUGCACAUAAAUUUUGUCUGAUGAAAAACGGACAAGCAAAAGAACAUAAACAUGAGAUUAGAAAGAAUUUAGAUUACUUCAGGGAAAGCCACAAUAGCAUUUGUUAUAGUAGGAGCAUCCAGCGGAAUAAUGUUAUAAGCAAUUAGGUCCUCGGUCAUAGCUGCAUCAGAUUCAAUCACUCUCUUCAGCUGCAAGACAUAGUAAUUUUAUACAUUAUCACUAGCAUCAAAUGAGAAUAUCCAAUCAUAACAUGCAUAGAAAUUACUUGAUUAAAUAAAUUCUGAAAAGGCUAGAAAGAAAAACAAAAUAAAAAAGGUCAAUGUGGAAGAUUAUAGCACAAAGAAAAUAAAAACAUGAAAGAUAAAUAUUCAAAAUGAAAAAAUGAAGAUGAUUUCCAGAUACUGCACGAGUUCAUCAUGCACCCAAAAUUAGUAUGAGACGAAUGGAAGUAUCUGGAAAAAGACUAAAACAAAAAGAUUAUAAAAAAAAAGGAGAGAGGUCAUCUUUAGAUUAGAUUAUCCACAAGAGAAAAAUUAUAUGCAUGCAACCACAUACUUAGAAGCACCAACCUACUAGAGCCAAGCACAGGGAAGAUAAAUGCAAGUGCUUUUAGAACCUUGGCCAAACAAUGGCAAGAGAAAAAGAGGGAAUAAAGCCCAAGAAAAUAACACCAAUGAUCAAAAAGCCCCUCUCACUCUUUACACAAAAUUUCUAAGAGAUCCAUCCAAACCUUAUGUCCAACAUUUGAAACAUCCACACCACUUCAAAACACCCCAUUCUUCCUUCUAGUGCACGCAACAUGCAGCACAAGAAAAUUUCAAAAUUUUAAAAUAACACAACCAUGUUAGUACUUUCCAGUCAUUUUAGUCUUUUACUUGCACUUCUUAAGUCAUUUAGCUGCUGGAAAAUACUAUUGUUUGCUUUUGUUAAUAGGAGGCUGGUUGAGAGAGGAUUUUGACUGUACAUGACCUCCAAGAAACGAGGGAAAAUCUUACUGAAAACAGGUAAAGAAUAAGUCAUCAGCUGGCUUUUCUAUGAGGUUGGACGAGGGUCCUGAUUCCCCAUGUUUCUUCUCAGUUUGGAGGGAUAGGAGGACUUUUAAGGAGGGAAAUGCCACCAAAUAAUCCUAUAGAAUAUUCUAAUACUUAUUAGUUUCUCAUAUAGUGGAUGGUUCUCUUAAGACUCCACAAAACAUAGAUUUUCUGACAUUAAUAUUCAUAAUUGUAUCAUGUUUAACUGAACCUCCUUGAAGCCAUAUAGUGUUGGCUUCACUUACCACAAAAGAGAAAUUAAAAUACUUUUAAGCAAAAAAAAAAAAAAGUAAUGUCUAAUUCAAAAGACGUAACUAAGUUACAGUAUGGUAUGUGAAAAGAAAAUAUUGUUUGAUAGGACUGUGGAACCAACCUCUUCAGGAAUAUCCUUAGUCAGCUGCUCAAGUACCGAUCCUAUAACCUUCAGAGUUGCAAAAACUCUUUUUCUCUUCACUGUUUUUCGCUCCAACCUAGAUAGGAAAAUCAAACGGAAGCAAAGAAUUAUGAAACAGAAGAAGAGGAAGAUGAAAAAGGGAGGGGGAUGGGGGAUGGGGGUAAUUUUUUCUCUUUUAGCAGACCUUUUUUUUAUUUUUUAUGAGAGGGAGUAGUGGCAUUUUCAGCAGCCACAUUAAAAACACAGGAACAAGAUAACAUGAAGCCAAAACUCAUCAAACAACAUAAUGUUUCUUUUUUUAAUGAAAGCAAGCUGCUCUGUUGUGCAAGGCAAUGAUAUAUAAUAAUCAUAAAACGGUAUAUUUAGCAAAAGAAAUAGUCUCCCUAAAUAGAAGCUCCCCUUCCAUCCUAUGGGAGAGCUACCUUGAGUCUGUUCCCUCUCUCCGAGAUGGUUAACCACUUUUAACCGUGAGAGAGAGGUCAUUCAAAACCAACAAUCUGCUGACUCCAGAGCCAGUGGUAGGUCCCCACACAGAUCCCAAUUCUUUAGCAAGUUCAAGAACAUUGUGAGAAGGAGAAACAAAACAGGCAGCAACAUAGUUAUUAAUAAUUUUUAUUAAAUCCUAAAUUCUACUCUAACUAAUGAACAACCCUUUCUAUUAAGCUCCAAACUACUUAGCAAUAAUUUUGGCGAAGUUUAAUCCUUCAAAAACAAAGUAAUUCAUAUUGCAAGUGAAAAAUAAACUUAAUGCAAAGUAAAAUCAACAUAUUUCUAUUCCUGAAACAUACUCGCCCAGAUUUCCACUGAAAGUGCCAGACUCCCUUAGCUUCAUUUCUUCUUCUCGCAGCUUAUCUACAUUGUUAUUUUCUCUAUAGAGCUUGUAAAAUUCUUGCAAGCGAGCAAUGUCCUGACUUCUAUCAAUGGUCCCACCAUCCCUCUUUGCAAGCUUUUGCUGAAAUUUUCUCAAAGGAACAAGGCACAUGAUAUUAGGACACAUAUCUAGAAAAAACAUCCAAGUCAUAAAUUACAAAUCCAAGAAACAAAAGAUGCAUGAUAAUUAUUAAAACCAUUUGGUACGCAAAAAAUUUAGCCAAUGAAUCAAAGGGAAAUCAUUCAUCCAAGAUUCAGAGAAGAAAAUAGAUUUUUAAUAAAUUUAAAACAAAAGAAAGGAAGAGAGAGAGAGAGAGAGAGAGAGAGAGAGAGAGAGUAAGACCCAAGAGAGUCGCCACACCAGGAUUUUCCUAAUAUUAGAAGUAGGAUCUGGCUCAAGGUGAUAACUAUUGGCUAAGAUAUGACGAACAAUAAACUGUAGGAUCAGGCCUUACUAAUACAAUUCCGUUCCCAGAUAUAUUAGUCUGUAUAAGCCAGUACAGAUAAUACAGUCUGAUAGGCCCUUAUAAGCUGAAAUACAUUGUUCUUACCAACCCCAUUUCUCACCUAGACAACAGCUUAAAUAACUCGUCCUCGCUUUCAACCUGCUAAAACCUAUUUUAUCAUCAAAUUAGUCCUUUUUCACUUGAUUCUUCGAGGAAUCGCUAAAUUUAAAGGUUUGUUGCAAAAGCUUUUUGCAGAACAAGGUGUUCUUUUUGGCCUUCUUACUUUGUUUACUUCCUUAAAUCGACAAUAAAUUGCUAGACCUACAAGAUCAUGAUGCUAUUUUGAGCAUUUUACUUAGAUCUACAUAACUAUGAUUUGCUUCUAGUGUUAAGUUGAGUCAUUUUGCUACCUUAUCUAAAACAGCUUCAUGGAGCAACAGCCAAAAAUGGUAUUGGAUUAUGCAAAAUGACCAUCAUUAAUACUAUCAUUUAAGACUCAGGGCCCUCUCUACAUUCAAUUCUUCCAUUCACCUGUUCAGCUAUAGUUUCCUUCUAUAGAAGAAGAAAGAAUGUUCACACAUGAAAAGCAACAUUGUCAAAGAACCAUUCAACCUAAAAGCUUAAACUUCUAGCGCUCCAGAAGUAGUUUUUAAUAUUCUCUAACAAAGAUGACAGAAAUAGAAGAUAUUAACUGACUAGAGCUACACCUUAAUGACAGACAUCAAACCAGUCUUGAAUUGUAGUACNNNAUUAUUAUGCUAGCAGCAAGCAAUUGAGCCAAUUUUAGUAAGAAAAACAUCAAAUUCUAUGAAACACUUACAAAUUCUAGAGACAGUAGGAUCUUCGUCUUGAAUUUCAUCGGCAGCUCUUAAAAUAGCAUCAAUGUCUCUAUUAUUAGCAAGUGAUGAGGGUACAUAUCCCGCAAUGCCACCACCACCACCACCAACCGGCCUGCCCAGCGCAUCUAAUCUUGUUCUUUCGCUCCUUAAUGCGGCCCGCACUAAUCUCUCCCAUAAAUCUUCCACUCUAGACAUUUCUCUUAGCUACUAGCCCUAAGAAAAUAAUAAUAAAUAAACAAAUCAACAAAGCCUAACUUCGAAUCAAAAUUUUUACAAGAAAAUAAUAAUUAAUACAUGUCAAGAUAGAGGUAUAUUAAAAAUGGUAGCAAUGGCAGUACCUGAAUCGCUAUGCUAAAAGAGAAAGAGAAAAGCCUAGAUACUGAGUUCAGGGGAGUUGAGUCGGUCUCUCUCGUCGAGUCGUGGAAAAUGUUGAUAAAGGUGGUGACUUAAGCGCUUUUUUUUUUUUGCUUUAAUUUGGCUUUUGAAAUUGAAAGUGAAAUUGAAAUGAAUAAAUGGAAAAGGGAGACAAAAGAUCUUAUUACAAGGCCAGGCUGAAACUGUUGAAACGUUGGAGUUACCGGGCUUUCACCGGUUAUAGCCGGUUGUACACGGGUUUUACCUUUCUGGUAUUUACGACGCGGAGAAGGAAACUAUCAAAAUCCUUGGCACGUGAGGACCAGCGACUUGACUUGUGGCACGUGAUCGGAUGGCAUUGGGUAUGGGGGAGAAGGUGCAUUUUGGCCCUUGAUGUUUAGAUCUAGGAGCAGAUUGACCUCUAAUCUAUUUUUUAAAAAUAAAUAAUAAAAAAGAUUAUAUUUUUAUGUUAUUUUAGCUCUUCAUUAGACAAAAAAUUAAACUUUUAUUAGUUAAAUGUUGUUGUGGCAUAUAUUCUUCUCCUCUUUCUCAUUCAUUUCUUGUACCCUUGUCCUCCUUUUUCUUUUUCUUUUUCUUCUUCGCUAAUUUUCGUUUAUAAAAGUCAGAUUAAUUGAGAAGAAAAUUCUAUCCGUCGGCACAUGUCCCAACGCACCAACUAAGAAUUCGUGAAAAAGUUUCAAUAUAGCCAUAAAUAUGAUCCAAGGUACCAACACAUAGGUUAUGAAGCGAGCAAUACGAAAGUACAACCAUUUUUAUCAAUCUCUUUUCUCAUGCAUGCACACUGCAAAAAGGUCAUGCUUUGUCUCAUUUCAUAAUAGUAGAUUUUAUGCAUACAAAGUAACUUUUAGUCUUUUAAGUUAAUUGUCUUUGAUCAUACAUCUAUUUGAUACCUUUAAAGCAUCUAACAGCUUUAUAUCCUAAUAUAUUUUUUUCUCACAUACUUGCACACCAUGCACAAUUGCUCUAAUGGACUAAUUUUUUAAGUAAAAUAAAAGCAACCCAGCACUCCAUAAAGUAUGGGUGUUUGUCAAUGCAUAAUUUUCAUGACAACUUUCUGCAAACCACUAAAAACUGCUAUAUUUCAUAAGUCUGUCUUAUUAGCUAUUAAGGUUUUUGAAAUAAAAUUUGUAAAUCUUAUUUUAUAAUAGCUAGUUUUGUUUGCUUAUAAAAAUAAGCUUUAUUCAUAAAAUUAAUAAGGAAAGAAUAAUAUUUAACUCAAAAACUCUCAAAAAUGUAAAAGUAUUUAUUACACAUUUUCAUCUUUUACUUCUUUUCUUGUGUAGUUCAUAUUUAUGGCUUUUCAAAAUAUAUGUUGUUGCAUUAAAUUUGCAUAUUAUCCAUCUAGAAUUUUUCUAAUUUUAUUUUAUUGUUCGUAAAGGUCUCCAAGCACCUGUGUUAAGCUUCCUAUUAUUAUAUGGGUGAUACAGCCUCCCAUUAAGAGUUUGUUGGAGGUCCAUUUGUACUUACUGAAGCAAGUGAGAGGUUAACAAAAGCCUAAUAAUUUUCGUAGGUUAGUCAGAGUGGGUGUAACUCAUAGACCAGGUAAGGUGUCUUUUUUGUUUAGAACCUUGUAUAGCUUGAUCUCUAACCAUUAAUAGAGUCAAAUAGUGAAGAAAAUUUUAAAAUGUGACCUUAAGGACUAAAUGUAGGUCGUAAUACGGAACUAGGUCAUAAUUCUUAGUCGCUUUGACUCUUGUACUAAAAAAAAGGUCCAAUUUAUCCAAUUUAUUUAAUAUCCUUAUCAAAUGUCUAUUAUGAAAAAUAAGAAAAAAAAAUUAUUUGAUAGAUAUUUGAUUAUUUUAAUGCGUGCAUAAAAUAUUUAUGGCAUCCACUUUCCUUCACUUUUCAUAUCGAAAGACUUUUAUUGGAUGUGAACUAAUUUACAAUAGUUAAGGUAUCUAUUAAAAUAGUUGGCUUAUUGCUGUAGAUAUCUGAAGUAUUUUUUAGUAUAGUUAGAUAUUUUGUGUAGUUUGCUUCAAGCAGUUAAUAAAACUCUUGUAAAUCUCUUUAUAUAUAAUUAAGUUGUCUAUUGCAUUAUCAAUAGAAUAUCAAUCUUGAGAUGCUUAAUUGAUCAUAUAACGUAAUUAUACUCUUGAGAUUUCUGCUUAAAAGAGAAUAGACAACCAACUCAAAAAUUUUAAAAAGUCCAAUUCACUCCCCUCUUGGACGUCUAUAAUGUUUGCUUAAAGUCCUAUAGUAUCUGGUGGUUGGAUGCGAAGAAUGGAGACGCGAGAGGUGGCAGGAGGUUUACAUGUCGAGGAAGGAGAGGGAAGGACCUAGGGAAUAAUUUAUCAAUGAUAAUUAUUAUUAGCCCCCUUAAACUAUAUACAUUUGCUACAACAUACCCAAAACGUAUAUGUAUAUAUACAUUGUUAGUACAAAAAGCUAAUAAUCUAGAUUUUAAUAAUAAAAAAAUAUUUCAUGUUUUAUAUUGUGUAUAUGGACAUUUAAUAAUGCAUGUAUAUAGUGGAUGUGGCAAGAUGACUGACAAAGUAUAAAGUUCCAUUAGAUAUCCACCUUAAUCAAAGGCAACAACAAAUUCCCCAAACAAAAGUCUACGUGUUAGAAAUCUCCAUUUAGAAACUUGUGCAUCUUAGAUAUCUCGUUAAAUGAACCAAAUUACUUUUCUAAAAUAAAUUUCUUGCACAUCAUAAAAUUUCAAAUCUUUUUCUGAUUUUAAAUCAUGAAAAGAUAUAUUUGACUUUCUCAAAGUGAUUCAGGAAGCAAAAAUUCUUAUUCCCUUGAUACCAUGUUUUAAAGAUAUUUGUUUCGAAUUAGACAUCUAUUUGAUAUCUUUAAAGUAUCUAUCUAUUAUCUAGUGUGACACAUCAUUUUCUACACAAUUACAUAUUUAUCACAUGUGUCCAAAUGGCUAAGUUUUGUUAGGUGAAGUAGAAGCAACCUUACACUGUCAAUUUUAAUUGUCAACCAUAGUGACAUGCUUUUUCUGACAACUUUCUGCUGAUUAUUGACAGAAAGCUAUAAAGUGUGUCAAAUGUCUAAAUCAGUAGUUGUAAAGUUCUUUAAAGUAAAUUUUGAAAAAGUUUCUUUAUUUAUAUAUCUAAACUCCUUAAGAAAUGUCUCUAAGAACUAGUUUUUAUAUUGCUUUAUAAAUAAAGAUUUCAUCUAUCAAAUCAAUAAGGAAUAAUAAUCGUACUCUCUAAAACUCUCAAGAACUGAAAAGCCUUAUCACUCCUUAUCUUCAUCUUCUAUUCUUAAGUGUUUGCAUUUAUGAUCUUUCAAAAUUAAUUUUUCUUGCAUUAAAAUUGUCUAUGAUCCAUAUAGGAAUUCUGUUCAUUUGUAUUUAUUGCUUUCAAAAGAGAAAAUAUUUUAUAAGGUUUCCAAGCUUCUUGUGUUAAAGCUUGUGGUUUGUAGGGUGACACAACUUCCUAUAUAAGAGUCUGUGAGAGAUCCAUUUGCACCUAAAAGCAAGUGAGAGGUUGAUAGAACCUACUAACUUGUGCAGGUUAUUCAUAGAGGAGAUAUCUCUAACUGUAUAAAGUGUCUUAGUAUUAGAACUCUAUAAGGUUUGAUCUCUAGUUGUUAAUAGAGUCAAAUAGUGGAGACAAUCUUAAGGUGUAAUUCUUAAGGACUAAAUGCAGGUCUUAGUAUUGAAUUAAGAUAAAUCUUUUUGUUGAUUUUUAUUAACUUCCAAUUCAUUAGACAUCUGAUAUUGCUACAUACUUUGUUAAUUGUCUAUUACAUCUUAAAAAUGAGAAUUUACUACUUAGACAUCUAAUUAUUUUUAAAAGAAACAUCAGAUAGCUCUCUCCUUACAUUCUCUUACUCAUAUAAUUUACAAGAGUUGACAAGUUAUACCAAUUGAGGUAUUAGUUGAAAUAGUUGGCUUACUGUUGUAGGUAUCUAACAUGAAGCUUUCUAAGCUUAGUUAGAUAUAUGUGCAGUUAGCUUCAAGCUUACAAUAGAACUCGUGUAAAAUUAUCUUAUAAGCGGUUGAAAAAUAGUAAGGUACCUAAGCCAGAAAAUUUUAAAAAGUUCAAUUCACCCUACCUCUUAGAUGUCUAUUACACACUCUUAUUUUGGUACCAGAACAGGUCUAUGUAAUAUAAGGCUUAACAUCCUUGAGUGAAGAUCCAAGAUGGCUACUGAAAAAAAUAAAAUAAUCAAUUUUAUUCAGUUAUUGAUAUACUUCACUUGGACCAAUAUUAGAAAUGGACCAAAAGUUUCAGUCAAAAGAGUGGAUAAAUAAUGGGUUUCUAAAAAGGAAUCUGAAUGUACAAAAUUUGACUAGCAACAUAUAACUUGUAAUGCAGAAGCUAUAAACAUCAUACAUUGUGCUCUAAUAGACAUCGAGUAUAAUCGGGUGUCUGGCUAUAAAAUAACGAAACAAAUAUAGGAUAAGUUAGAAGUAAAUUAUAAAGAAACAAACCAAGUGAAGGAAUUAAAAAUCAACCUUAUGAUAAGAGAUUAUGAAAUGUUUUUUAUGAUUGCAACUAAGAGCAUUGCAUAAAUGAAUAUGAGAUUUAUGGAUACAGUAAAUCAAUUAAAGUCUCUUAGGAAAUAUAUCUCAGGACCAAAAUAAGUAAAAAAGCUAUUGAAAUCAUUGCCUAAAUCUUGAGAUUCCAAAGUGAUCAUAUUAUUAGAGUCUAAGAAUUUAGACGUCUAUACAUAUGAUGAAUUAUUUGGAUUUCUAAUGACUCACGAGAUGCUAUUGAAUAAGUAGGAUGGUGAGACAUCCAAAGAAGAGAAAAAGAAAAAAGGAAUAGCAAUGGCACCAAGCUCAUAAAAUACUGAUUCAGAUUCAUCAGAUGAGGAAAUGGUCGCUAUCACUAGAAAAAUGAAGAGGUUCUUCAAGAGAGGUAGUCCAAAGGAACAAAAGAGCUUUUCAGAAGUCUAGUUCUACUAAACCAAACACUGGAAAAAAGGAAAAUUAUGAUGCCAUAUAUUAUGAAUGCAACAAGCCUGGUCACAUAAAGCCUAAUUGUCCUAAACUCAAGAGAAAAACAAAGAAGGACAAACAUAAGAAAGCCUUAGCCACAUGGAAUAAUAGUAAUGAUCUAUCAAGCGAUGAUGAGACGUCUGACAAAGAAGAGAAAGCCAACCUAAGUCUAAUGGUAGAUACAGAUGAGCAAUCUUAAUUGGACAAUUAGAUAUCUAAUUUUGAUUUAGAUGAUUCUGAAAAUGUAUUCAAUGAAUUAUUUUGAGAAUAUAGAAACCUUAAGAGGAAGUACAAUUCUCUAUUGACAAAACUCAUAAAAUUACAUGUUCAGUAUUCCGUCACUCUUGAAUUAAAUAAUUCCUUGCAUUUUGAAGUCAUGAAAAAUAUAUUUCUGCAAGUGAAACUUGAAAAAUUAAGCAGUGAUCUAUCAUGUGCUUUGACUUAAAGUAGCUAUCUGAUUCAUAUAAAUGAAUAAACAACUAAUCAUAAUGAUAAGUUACGGGAAAUGUUGAGCUUGAAUACUUCUCUCAUGACUAAGUUAAAGGGUGAAUCAUAAAGUUUCUUAAAAGUCAUGGAGAAAUAAAAGUCUGAUAUUAAUCGGUUGAUCAAAAGAAAGGAAAUUUCUUUUCCUACCUCAAGGUCUAAAAGUUUUGAAAAGACAAAAUGGUUUAAUGAGGGUCAUAAAUCAAAAUUGAUUGACAAACCUUUUCAUAAAUAUACUACUUCUUCAUCUAAGUUUACUAAGACCAUUUGUGCCAGUAAGACAUACAUCCAAAAGCAUUGUACUCAUUGUCAUUAUAAUGGGCAUCUACUUAAAACAUGCUUUAGGAAGUUUUUAUUUUGAGUACCAAAGGGUCCAAAGCUAAAACUUGCUGACAAAUCAGGACCCAACAUAGAUUGGGGACCUAAUCUGUAGAGUUAUCUAUAGGUAUGUCUGAGCAGUAUAAAGAAACAAAUGACUGGUACAUUGACAGUAGCUACUCGAGACACAUAACAUGGGACUCAUCCAAAUUCUUAAAGUUAGAUAAAACUAGUGGUGGAUAUAUGAAAUAUAGAGAUAAAAGCAAAGGAAGGAUCAUAGGAAAAGGAGUUAUCAAAUCAAAUCCUCAAAUUGAAGAUGUUUCACUUAUGGAAGGGCUAAAGUACAAUUUGAUGAGUGUUAGUCAGCUAUAUGACAAAGAUAGUCGAGCUAUAUUUGAGGCGUCUUACUAUGAGGUGCAGUUAGUCAUUAAUAAUUAGACCUUAUUUAUUGGUCCUCGAAUGGGUAACGUAUAAGCAUUCAAUAUGAAUUCUUGUAGUGUCAAAGACAAAUGCUUGAUUACUGAUAGUAGCUAGUUUGUGGCACAAGCGUCUAAGACAUUGUCAACAUGCAAUUAAUUUCAUAACUAAGUCAAAAAAAACCUUAUUAUAGGUAUACACAAGCUGAAAUAUAAAAAAGAUUAUUUAUGUAACGGAUGUUAAUAGAGAAAGCAAACAAAAUCUAUUUUAAAGUUAAAAUCCAUUGUGUCCACAUCUAGACCUUUGAAAUUGCUGCUUUGUCACUUGUUUAGGCUAAAAAAAUUUCAGAGUCUGAAUAGUAGUAAAUGUGCAUUUGUGAUAGCAGAUGACUAGUCACAGUUCACAUAGGUUAUAUAUUUAUACAAAAGAGUUCAUAAUGAAAGAGGCUAUUCCAUCACAUUUAUUAGAUGUGAUUAUAGAGGGGGUUUGAGAAUGAAAUGUUUGAUUCUUAUUAGAAAGGCUAUAGAAUAUAUCAUAAUUUCUUUGCCCUAAGAACCCCGCAACAAAAUCGUAUGGUAGAAUGUAAUAAUAGAACUUUAGCUUAAAUGGCUAGAACCAUGUUGCAUGAGAGAUACCUACUAAAACACUUCCGGGCAGAAGCCACAGAUACAGCUUGCUACAUACUAAACAGAGUCUUAAUCAGACUAAUUCUGAAUAAGAUACCUUAUGAGUUGUAGAGAGGAAGAUAGACAAAUCUAUCAAUUUUUCAUACAUUUAGUUGCAAAUGUUUCAUACUGAAUAACAAGGACUACCUUAGAAAGUUUAACUCAAAAUUAGAUGAGGAAAUAUGUCUUGGGUAUUCAAUAUCAAGGAAAACAUAUAAAGUAUUCAACAAACAUUCUUUAACUAUUGAGGAAUCCAUGCUAGUUAUUUUCUUUAUGAAUAUAAUCAUACUACCAGAAGAAAUUGUAAAGAUAGAAAUUUAGAUGGAAAAAAAGAAAAGAUGGUGAAAAAUGAGUAGAUGUUUAGGAAGAAAAGGCUAAAGAAAAGGAUGAUGCCUACAAUGAUGAUGUUGAGACGUCCAAUCCAACUUCUUUAGACAUCUCCAUUCAACAGACAUCAUACCUUCUAAAAGAUUAGAAGUACCACCAAUAUCAUCCAAGUGAUAAUAUAUUAGACAGUCCAUUGUAAGGCAGAAUGAAUAGAGCAAGAUAUAGACGUCUACAUGAAAAUGUGACUUUUGUUUCACAGAUUGAACCAAAACCGUGUGGUAAGACUUAAAUUGAUAAAAAUUAGAUAUCUGCUAUGCAAGAAGAGGUAGAUCAAUUUGAACAAAAUCAAGUUUGGAAGUUGGUACUUAGAAUAAAGAAGUAAUCUAUCAUUAGAACUAAGUGGGUAUUUAAAAAUAAAUUAGACGAUCAAGAUAACGUUAUAAAAGAUAAAGUUAGAUUAGUCCCCCAAAAGUACAACUAAGAAGAAAGUAUUAAUUUUAAUGAAACUUUUGCUCAUAUAGCUAGACUUGUAGCUAUUAGACUACAAGAGCUACCCAUUCUUUUAUAUCUCUUAGUUUUGCAAUAAGAUUGGAUAUUCAACCAAUUAGGCUAUAGGUUCCUACGUAUGUGACUAUGACAUUAAGUGAUGCUUUAGAGACAUAUAUCUUUUUUUGGUCGUGUUCGGUUUCAAUUAAAUGUCGUGAUCUGUCUACAUAUCUGAUUUUCUUAGAUGUCAUGGAUUUUGAUGUAAUUUUAGGAAUGGACUGGUUGGAAUUGCACUAUGCCAUGUUGGACUGCUAGAAAAAGCAGGUGACUUUCUAGAUUCUAGGAGACUCAGAGUUUCACUUUAAGAGUGAUCAAAUUAUUGCACCAUCAAAUCUCAUAUCAGCCAUUACAACUAGAUGAAUGCUUCAAUGUGGGUGUCAAGAACUGGCUUAGGGAUACUUCAGCAGAAAAGGCAGAGUUGAGGAUGUUCCAGUUGUUUGUGAGUUUUCUGAUGUUUUUCUAGAGGAGUUUCCAGGAUUACCACCUGAUAGGGAGAUAGGGUUUUGUAUUGAUGUAUUAUUAAGCACAACUCAUAUUUCCAUGCCAUCUUACAAAAUGGUACCAACAAAGUUAAAAGGGCUAAAGGAACAAUUGUAGUGUCACGACCCCACCCGUGGGCCCGUGACCGGCACUAGGGAAUGGGUAGGCUUAAGGCCACCGAAACCCGUAGUAAGCCUGACACUCACUGAUUUAAACAAAUCUCAACUCAAAUUUAUAUUAUUAAAACCAUAAAUUAUCUUAAUAGUUACACUUUACAAAAUUACUUCGGUCUACCAGAAAAUACUAGGCGAGACCCGAAGCUCAGAAAAAUUUACAACUGAUACAUAUACUAAUUACUACUGCGGAGAAUCUAAGAUUUACCAAUUUACAUACCAAAUCAAAUACAUCACCCGAUGAUGAAGGAGUCGGGUUACUGAAUAAGAGUCGCGAGAGAACUAACAGUCACGAAUCUGAAAAACAAUAAAUGGAGACUGUCAGUCUCGAGAGUGAGUUAAAAUCAUACAUCUAAAACAGUUUCAAAUAUCUCAAUGUCACAUUCAUUUAAUUUUAAAAUAAUUAAUAAAUCACGCGAACCAUACGUGUCAUGUUAAAACAUAUGUGUCAUGCCAUGCUUAAACAAAAUUUAUUCCACAUGCAACGGGACAGAGUACUUCAGUAGAACUCUAAUCCCAACUCUAAAAUCUCGAUUAUUUCAACACUUAUGUCUCAACUAACCUCAACUCUAUCAUCUCAUUCCAACAGGACUGGCGCCCAGAGAGCAAAGCUCGACCAGGGACCUUACCUCCAGUCCGGUCACUUAACUCUCAGCCUUAGCCUUUUGGCUCUCUUAUCCAAUAAGACUGGCGCCCCGAGAGCAAAGCUCGACCAGGGACCUUACCUCCAGUCUGGUCACUUAAAUAUCCAAAUAAGAAAUCUAGUAGCCAUUCGGCUCUCUUAAUCCAAUAAGACUGGCGCCCCGAGAGCAAAGCUCGACCAGGGACCUUACCUCCAGUCUGGUCACUUAAAUUUCCAAAUAAGCCGGCGCCCCGAGAGCAAUGCUCGACCAGGGACCUUUACUCCGGCAACCACACUCUACUAAGCCCAGAGAGCGAUGCUCGACCAGGGCAGGUCCUAAUCUUUCUUUCUUAAAAUUUUUACCUCUUUACCCUUUUCUUAUCUCUCUCAUAUUAUAUUGGACACUCAUCCAACUCCUAUGUUCUACUGCCGUCCCAUCCUGAGUCAUCAUGCAAUAUUAAAAUUGGUAAUAAAGGAAAAACAUAUUUAAAUAGUAAUUAAAAGCAUCAUGCAAAUGAUAAUAAUAAUAAUUGAAUGAAAAAUUGAAAUUGCAAAUAAAUAUUCACAGUAGCAAAUCAAAUUUUAUGCAUGACACGUGCGUAAACGAUAUAUGACUUUAACUCACAGAAUUAGGCGACCUCCUAGCUCAGCUUAGGUGUCUCGGUAGGAGCGAGCCGAACAGACAGAUCAUCUAAUCACGGAAAACAAUUUAUCAAAACGAUGAAACAAUUACAAUAGAUCCUAGGUCUAGAUUCCUAGGACUGACUGUCUAAGAAUCUCGACUCGGGAGAAUUCUACCGAAAAUCCGGCAGAACCUCCCCUACAACACGAACAUUACCCCCCGUAAAGACGGGUCCAGGACCUGCCAGAAAAACACUCCAAAUACUUACAAUUAAAACAACGGGAGUCGGGUCCCCAAACUUCACUAUUUCCCGACUCCGCCACACAGCACAAAACACAGGGCAGGCAACUGACAGACAAUUAUUUAUGACUCACAAAAUCAUCAAAUACUCAAUAUAACCCAAUAGACACAAUUAAACCAAGAAUUUCUAAAAAUAACAGGCUAAAGAAAAUUACCGAGACGCUCGAUCGCUCGGUCGACUCGCCUCCAGCCGCCGGAGUCCGAUCGACGAUCCGAACACACCAUCGGACUCACAACGACGCACUGAUGACGAUCCCCGCUUCCGAUUUUCCAAUCUGACACUCGAUCGUCCGGAGAGAUUUGCGGACGAUCUCGACCGUCGAUUCGCAAACGAAGCCCGAUCGCCACGAAACCAGUGCCAUCGCGAAGCUUGAGCUGAGGAGAGUCGGGAUACAUCCUCCGAUCAUCCAUCCUCCGCCGGAGCUGGCCGGAAAAGCCCAAACACGCCGGCUGCCACCAUUUUCUCUCUCCACCAGAUCUUCCGUCUCCGGCCACCACAGGCGUCGCCGCUGCUACCAAAAGAAAGCCCUCGCCGAGAGGAGCCGAUCGCCACCCAACUCGGCCGCCAACAACGCCGGAAACGGCCGGAAACACGCCUGGAAGCCGCUGCCACACGCGCGAAUCCGCCGCCUCACGCUGCCGCUGGAGCCGCUGCUGCCGUCGCUGCUGCGCUCGCCAGCGCACGCCGCUCCGUCGGCCAACGCUCCACGCCUUCGACGGUCGCCGCCGACGCCUGCAACGUCCCCUUCUCUCUCUUCCCAACGCCGCACUCUCUCUCUCCUCCUUUCUUCUUCCCCGACUUCUUUUUCUUUCAAUAUCGACAUUAGGCCCCCGAACUUUUCCUUAUUACAAUUUGGUCCCUCAACUUUCUUAAUUACUUACAAUUUCAUCCCGCAGAAUUCCAAUUUAACCCCCAAACUUCUUUUUAGCCUUACAAUUAAGCCCUUAACUAUUUAAUUUUGGGCCAAAUUAGAAUUACUGAAAAUACACAAUUACAAAAAUACCCCUGACCGACAUAUUUAUUUACGAAAAUACCAAACUCACAAAUUUCCAUUAAAACCCCAUAAAAAUAAAAUUAUACUUUCAAUCCUUAUUCCAAAAUAAAUUUCCAAUUUAGUCCUAACACACAAUUAAAUUAAAUAAUCAAUUUUUCCAAAUUUCUUUUAUAAACACAUCCUUUACAAUUCUACCAUAAUUUUCCAAUAUAUAAUUUUACUUAUAUAAAUAUGCAUUUGGAAAAAUUUGAAUAACCAAAAUAUAAUCAUUUUAAAUUAAACCCAAUAAUAAUGAGACUAAAAUUAACUUAAAUAAAAACUCAUUAUUAAAUAUAUAAAAAUUCCGGGUGUUACAUGUAGGACCUUCUAGAUAAGGGUUUUAUCAGACCCAGUACAUCUCCUGUCAUAUGACUCGAUCUGUAGGCCAGUGACUGGCACUAGGGAAUGGGUAGGCGUAAGGCCACUGAAUCCUAUAGUAAGCCUGACACUCACUAACUUAAUUAAAUUUCAUCUAAUAUUACUGAUGUCAUAAUUUAUCUUAACCAUUAAAUUCUACAUAUUUAAUUCGGUUUGCCAGUAGAAUUAGGCAAGACCCAAAACUACAUAAAAUUUCAACUGAUAAGUCUAUUAUUUCUACUGCGGAGAAUCUAAGAUUUUACAAGUCAAACAUACCAAAUCAAUUACAUCACCCGAUGAUGAAGGAGUUGGGUUGCUAGAUAAGAGCCGCAGGAAGACUAACAAUCACAAAUCUGAAAAACAGUAAAAUUGAGACUGUCAGUCUCGAGAGUGAGUUAAAAUCAUAUAUCCAAAAACAAUUACAAACACUUCAAUAACACAUUUAUUUAAUUUAAAAUAAAUAUUAAGUCAUACAAAAAUAAACAAGUCAUGCCAUGCUUAAAAUAAAAAUAACUUUCACAUACUACGGGACGGAGUACCUCAACAGAACCUUAAUCCCAGCACUAAACAUCUUGACUCUCUCUCAUUCUAACAGAACUAACGCCUAGAGAGUGAAGCUGGACCAGGGUCCUUAACUCCAAUCUGGUCAGUUAAUUACCACUAACACUCUUAGCCUUUCGGCUCUCUUACUCUAAUAAGACUGGCGCCCAAAGAGCGAAGCUCGACUAGGGUCCUUAACUCUAGUCUGGUUACUUAAGUUUCCAAAGAAGCCGGCACCCAGAGAGCAAUGCUUGACCAGGGCGAGUCCUAAAUUUAACUUUUAAAAUUUACCCUUUUACCCAUUUGCUAUCAGUCUCGGAUUCAUAGCGGUGCACUCAGCAAAUAGCAUGUUCUACAGCCGUCCCAUCUCGAGUCAACACGAAAUAAUAAAAUCAUAAUGCAGAAAAUGAAACUUAUAUAAAUACGAUUAAAAUAACUGAUUAAAGUAUUAAAUCAUGUAAUCAGAAUUAUUUCGUAAAAUCUCAGCAUAACACAUGUAAACAGACAUAUGACUUUAACUCACAGCUUUGACGACCUCCUAGCUCUGCUUUGAUGCCUCGGGUGGAGCGAGCCGAACUGACGGAUUAUCUAAUCAAGGAAAAAAAUUAAUCAAUAACGUUGAAACAUUUGACAAUUAACCCUAGGUCUAGAUUCCUAGGACUAACUGUCUAAAAAUCUCGACUCGGGUAAAUUCUACCCAAGAUUCGGCGGAACCUCCCGUAAAAUAUGGACAUUUACCUCCCGUAAAACGGGUCUAGGACCUGCCAGAAAACACUUUAAAAUUCAGUAAUUUAUUUUAACGGGAGUCGAGUCCCUAAGACUUCACUAUUUUUCCUGACUCCGCCACACAUCACAAAUCACAACCUAAGGCAGACAGUCUGACAAACAAUUAUUUUAACUCACAAUAUUUUUUUAUCCUCAACAUAAUUCAAUAAAUACAUAAAUCUUAUCAAUAAAUUCUAAAAUCAACGGGCCAGAGAAUUAUCGAGAUGCUUGAUCGCUCGGUCCACUGGCCUCUAGCCGCCGGAGUCCGAUUGACGAUUCGAAUGCACCAACGGACUCGAAAUAUGUGCUGAUGAUGAUCCCCGCUUCCGAUCUUCCAAUCCAACUCCCGAUCAUCCCGAGAGAUUUACGAACGAUCUUGGCCGUUGAUUUUUAAACGGAGUCUGAUUGCCACAAAAUCAGUGCCAUUGGGAAGCUUGAGCUGAGGAGAGUUUGGAUAUGCCCUCUGAUCGUUCAUCACUCGUCGGAACUCACCGAAAAUGCAAAAAAAAUAUGGCUGUCAAUACCUCGUCGAAACUCCCUCCUCCGGCCACCAAAGCUGAUGUCGCCACUCCCAAAAGAAAGCCUUCAACUCACCGGUCAAUUUGAGACCAAAAUCGCUGCCAAAGGACGCCAGAAACGGCCAAUACGGCGGUAAGAAAAUCGCUGCCACUUCUUGCACUCUCUCGCCGAUCGUCGCCUGCUGGACCGCUGCUGUCGCUGCCGCUGCCCUCGCCGGCCUCUGCUGCGCCUCCAACCGGCUUUACCGCACCUUCAGAGCUCGCCACCGCCAGCCAUGGCGAUGCAGCUCAAUUCCUCUUCUUCUUCCUCCUCCUUUCUUCUUCUUUUUCCUCUUUCUUUUCUUUCCUUUUCCUUCCAUAUCGAAUUUGGUCCCUGCACUUUUCUUCCUCACAUUUUGGUCCCUCAACUUUUUUAAUUACAACAAUUUCGCCUUGCAAAAUUUCUGAUUAACCCUUAAAUUUUUUUUUAGAUUUUAAUUAAGCCUCUAACUAUUUAAUUUGGGCCAAAUUAGAAUUAUUGUAAAAUAUAAAAUUACAUAUUUACCCUUGCUUUUACAUGUAAAAUACCAAAAAGCUCUUGCCAAGAUAUUUAAUUAUAAAAAUACCAAACAUGCAAAUUUUUAUUAAAACCCCAUAUUAAUAAAAUUAUACUUUUAAUCUUUAUUUCAAAUUAAAUUUCUAAUUUAAUCUUAACACACAAUUAAUUUAAUUAAUCAAUUUACUAAAUAUUUUUCUAUUAGAAUUAAAACCAUUUGCUAAUUAUAAUUUAUCAUUCCCUGCUAAUUUUUUUAUAAAAAUAUUAUUUACUAAUUCUUUCAUAACUCUCAAAUAUAGAAUUUAAUUUAUAUAUAUUCAUUUAGGAGAAAAUUUGAAUAACCAAAAAUAUGAUUUAUUUCUCAAAGAAUUUACUUAAUUAAUUUCUUAAAAAUCAAACUAAUUGGAUAUAGAAAAUAAUUCCCUUAUUUGUCUGGCAUAAAAAUUCAAAAUUCCAUUUAAAUCACUCUAAUUUAAACCAAAUAAAAUAAAGUAAAAUUUAUUUAAAUAAAACUCAUCUAUUAAUUAUUACUAAUGUUAUCAUUAUUAAAGAAAAAUUCCGAGUAUUACAUCUUCGUAAGGCGCUUCAGUAUUGUUUGUGAAGAAGAAGGAUAGUUCAUUGCGCCUUUGUAUUGAUUACAAAUAAUUGAAUAAGACGAUAAUUCACAAUAAAUAUCUAUUUCCUCAUAUUGAUGACCUAUUCGAUCAGCUUUAAGAUGAUGCAUGCAUUUCUAAAAUUGAUUUACGAUCAAUGUGUCAUCAAUUAAGGACUCAUGAGGACAUACCUAAGAUGACGUGCUAGAUGCAUUAUGAGCAUUAUGAAUUCUUAGUAAUAUCAUUUGGAUUCACUAAUGCUCCUAUAGCUAUUAUGGACUUGAUGAAUCGAAUGUUCAAGCUGUUCCUGGAUCACUUUAUCAUCAUAUUUAUUGAUGAUAUCUUGAUGCACUCCAAGAGUGAAGAAGAGCAUGCAUGGAAUUUGAGGAUGAUACUUCAGACCUUAAAGGAGCACUAGUUGUAUGCUAAAUUCUCCAAAUGUGAAUUUUGGUUAGAGAGUGUAGCUAUUUUGGAACAUGUGGUGUCUAAAGAAGGUAUUUAAGUGGAUCCCAAGAAAGUAGAGGGAGUGACUGAUUAACAAAGACCAACUAUAGUGACGAAGGUUCGUAACUUUUUGGGUUUGGCAGGCUACUACUGCUAAUUUGUGUAGGAUUUUUCAAGGAUUGCGGCACCGUUGAGUAGGUUGACUCAGAAGAAUGUCAAUUUCCAAUGGACUGAUGCUUGCGAAAGAAGCUUCAGAAGUUGAAGGAUUAUUUGACUUCAAUUCUAGUGUUAACUUUACCAUCUACAAACUUUCUUUUACAAUGUAUUGUGAUGCUUUUAGAAUGGGACUGGGUUGUGUAUUAAUGCAACAUGUUAAAGUAGUGGCUUAUGCAUCUAAGCAACUAAAGAGGCAUGAAUAGAAUUAUCCCACUCAUGACUUGGAGAUGGCAUUUGCAAUUGUUACUCUUAAGAUAUAGAGGCACCAUCUCUAAUGGGGGAUGUGCUAGAUAUACACGGAUCGUAAGAGUUUGAAGUAUGUAUUCUAGUAGAAACAAUUGAAUUUUGAGGUAGAGAAGAUGGUUGGAGCUUUUGAAGGAUUAUGAUUGUACUAUUCUUUACCAUCCAAGUAAAGCAAAUGUAGUGGCAGAUGUCUUAAGUAGAAAUUCAGCAGGUAGCCUUGCUCAUAUCAGCAUAAAGAAAAGACAUGACUAAAAAGUUGUAUGAAUUGUACGAUCAAGGAUUAUAGUUGGUGUAACACCCCCAUCACAUGUUAACCAAUAAACAUUAGCCAGGAAGCAUACAAGCGUCGUAGAAUAUAUACUACAGGUAGAUAGGUCAAUAUGUAGGUUGUUAAGAAUCCAGACACAAGGUUAUUAACAUAUAAACAUAUGAUUAUACUUAAACAUCAUUUAACAAGUAUUACAAACAUCUUCUUAUGCCUUAUAAGGCAUACUUCCAUAUAUAUCACAUAACUGCAUACAAAAAUGCAUCAGGAGGAGACUUCACAAAACUGGCCCAACUUGACAGAACUGCUAAAAGCUAGACUUCACAUACAACCAACGGAUGCACUACUAUUUACAAACCUGAAAAGAAAAAUUUUGGAGAGGGGUGAGCCUCCAGCUCAGUAAAUAAAUAAUCAACAUAAUCUAUAUCACAUACACUUAAUACAAUUUCCACCCAAUCACAUAACUUUCCAUGAUAUUCAUAGUUUAGGUAUAAAGUCAUACCAUUCUACUCAAUUCAUUACAACCAUCAUAGAAGAAAUACAAUUCAACAAUUAUGGUUAGUUCUCACGGCUUGUGGAUCCCCUUUAAUGUGCUGCUCCGCCUCAUCCUCACAUAUCACACACGUAAGCUGCUCCGCCUCAUCUCACAUUAUACACUUUUAUAGCCUCUCUAGGCUUUAGCCUCCCAAGGCUUUAUAUAUAUAUAUCUUUUUUUUUCACAGGGGAAUCCACCAUUCACAUGCACAUAUGCACUUAACAUCACAAUUCAAUCAUUUCACUUAUAUCAUAUUUCAGCAAUUACAAUUGUUCCACUCAACACCAAUCAUUUCCAUCUCAGUCAUUCAAACAUAAACAAUAUUAAGCAAACGCAACCAUUUGCGGAACAUUUGAUUAAAUAUAUGAACAUAGCAAAUAUUAACUAUUUACUUACUCAAAAUAUACUUAUUCCUUUAGCAUAUAAGAACCUCCUUUCUUCACAACUUCCUUUCCAGGCCUUUGAGUACCUGUCAACACAUUCAUCAAUUCAUGCAUAUUACAAAUAUUCAUGUAAAUGCGAGUUCUAAUGCAUUACAAGAUCAUCCCCUCUCUAAUUCAUAGGUCUAACUCUUCCUCUAAGACUCUCAAUUACUGUUUUAAUAUCCUAUAAACAUUUCCCAUCUAGUUAAAUACCAAUUUAACUCAAAUUAACAUCAAUAAAUUGCAUAAAACUAAUCUCCAACAUUUCUGUUUUCUAGACAGAAUUUAGUACCAAGGUAUAUUUAUUGCUAGGAAAAAUUGGCUUAAUACAAAAAUCUCAUAUUAAAUAGACAUAUCCAUUUAUGCGUCUAGUUUCAUCUUCAAGAAGAAUUACUCAAUUCCGACUUCUAUAGAUUUAAUUAUUUUCAAAUUACUGAGCAAGGGUCAUACAGCUAGUUGUACCCGAGCAGCAAUCUGUUUGCUCAAUUUAAGCAACCAAAACGGCAAAAAUAGCAAAAUCAUAAAACUACAAAGUUAUAGAGGACUUUUUAAAAUUUCCAUAGACACCAAUUAAGCUUAAUUUGGAGUUAUAUAACCCAUGUUAUGCCUAAAAUACAGAACAUCAAGGUUGCUGGAAUUUUGACAGUUUUCUAUCUUAACAUACUUAAACUUAAAUCAAGCUUAAUCUUUAUGCAAUCAUUCAAUACUCUACUAAUUCAUGAUAAUCAGACCUUUAAUUAAUCAAUGAGAGCAUCAAAUGAAGUUUUUCCAAUUUUUAAUCAAGAACCCUAAUGACAAAUUAAUAACACUCAAUUAACAACUUACCAAUUUCAGCUUUUGGGUUGCUAAUAUGCUUAAAUCCUUUAGCUUUAGCUUGGCUCCUUCAAUAGUUGGCAAAAUCCUAUCUUAAUCUUAAGUUUUUCUAGGUAUUCCACUCCUCUCUCUUAUUCCAAAUUUUGUGUUUUUGGCCAUGUACGAAUUUUAGAGAAAUGAAGAGGUAAAAUGAGCUUGCUCAUGGUUCCAAUUUCCAAUAUUCCUCUCUUAAUGCCACCACCUACUAAACUAUUUUUAUCACCCUAAAUUAAUUCUUACUAACCAUAUAUAGGUACUAACUUUUAAUUGUAUCUUUUAAGUCCAAUCUAUUUACCCAACCUUCAACUAUUGGUUCAAUUAAGUCUUAAGGCUUAAUACACAUAACCCAAGUACUUAAUCAACUUAUCUAAAUUAAUAAUCUAAAAUCAUGCUUCUUAUUCUCUACUUAUAAUUAAUAUAUAUAUGUUCUCAUAAAAUAAAAAUAUCAUUGAUAUACCAUCAUAUGCCCAAUGAUUAAAUGUAAAUGCACAUAACAUGGAUGAUGAGAAAAUGCAGGCGUUACAGUUGGAGGUACUAAAAUCAUGAGUAUUGUUGGCACAUUUCAAGGUUCGGUCCGUAUUUGUUGAAAAAAUCAAGUCAGGUCAGAUUCAAAACCUAUAAUUAAAGAGGAUUUGAGAAAAGGUAUAGCAAGAUCAAGCUAAUGAUAUUUUCAUCGAUUUGAUGGGACUCUCAGGAUCACGCACUAGGUUGUGUGUUUCCGAUAUGGAUAAUCUUAGGAGGGAGAUUUUAGAAGAGGUUUAUUACAUAACUUACAGUGUCCACUCAAGUUCUACUAAGGUGUAUCAUGAUUUGAAAAGCAUUUAAUAGUGGAACAGGAUGAAGAAGGAUGUAGCAAAAAUUUUGGUUCCAAGUGUUUCACAUAUUAGCAAUUUAAGCUAGAGCGCGAGAAGUCGUUAGGAUUGUUACAGUCACUUUCUAUUCUGAAGUGGAAGUGGAAAAGAAUUAAUACGGAUUUUGUAUUGGGUUUGCCUAAGACUUCGGUACGGUAAGACUCUAUUUGGAUAAAUGUGGACUGUUUUACUAAGUCAACACACUUCCUAUCCCUAGAGACUACUUACAUGGUGGCUAAGUAUGCGAGGGUAUACUUGAAAACAAUUAUAAGUUUUCACGGAGUUUUUAUUUCCAGAAUGUCUGACAGAGGACCACAAUUCACUUCAAGGUUUUAGAGAAAGCUACAAGAAGAGCUUGGAACCAUAUUAUACUUCAACAUAACUUUCUCCUCCCAGACUGAUGGUCAGUUGGAAAGGACAAUUCAGACAUUAGAGAAUAUACUUAGAGUGCAUGUUAUGUACUUUGGUGGUUAAUGAGAUUGGUACUUGCUAUUAAUUGAGUUUGCUUAUAAUAACAUUUGUCAUGCGAGCAUCGAGAUGGCUCCUUAUAAGGCAUUAUACAGCAGGAAGUAUAAAUCGCCUUUGUGUUGAGAAGAAGUUGGUGAGCGGAAAUUAACAGGUCCAGAGUUCGUUCAAAUUACUUCUAAGAAGAUUCCUAUCAUCCAUGAGACACUAAAACAACUUUUAGUAGGCAAAAAAGUUAUGCAGACUUGAAGGGGAAGCAUGUGGAGUUCAGUAUUGGAGAAUAUAUAUUCUUAAAGGUGUCACUUAUGAGAGGCGUGAUGCAGUUUGGUAAGAAGGGAAAGUUGGCCAUACUUUAUAUAGACCCCUUUGCGAUUUUUAACAGGAUUGGAGAGGUAGCAUAUAAGUUGGAUUUACUGUCUAAUUUCUCACAUGUACAUCCGGUGUUUCAAAUAUCCAUGCUGAGAAAGUAUAUUACGGAUCCUUUGCAUGUGCUUCAACCUCAGUAUGGGGAGGUGAACAAAUAUUUGACUUAUAAAGUGCAACUAAUCAGAUAAUAGAUAUUCAGGUUCUUCGGCUUCACUUUAAGGCUAUACUAAUGGUAAAGGUUAUUGGCAGAAUCAUCCUACCGAGGAGUGUACUUGGGAGAUCGAGCAAGAGAUGAGAUAAUCUUGUCUCAUUUAUUUCAAUCUUAAGGUAAGUCUUAUUCCUUUCAAUUUAGAGACAAAUUUUUUUUAAGGGGGAUGAUGUAAUACCUCGUAAUUUUUAGAUUUUAAUUUUAUUUAAUUUCAAAAUUUUUUUAAUAAAUAAAUAUUUUUGAUAUUAAAAAUUCAGCACUUAAUAAAUUAUUAAAGUACUAUUUACUUUAUUAUUUUCAUGAAUAAUUAUAUUUUUUAACUUUGGCGAUUUUAAAAAUAGCUUUAUAAUUUUAAUUAAGUGAAUUAGAUUUUACUUUAAAUUAGCCUUACUAUCCACAUUUAUUCUUAAAAUAUAUGAUGGAUCUAAUUUAUAUUAAUUAUUAUUUAUUUUGUAUUAUUAUUAUUAAUUUAAUGAGUUAAAAUUAAUGUUAGUUUAUUGGAAAGAUAAUUAAGUGUACAUAUGAAUAUAAUACUAAUAAUAAUAAUGUGUUAAUAUAGCAACUAUUUUAAUCAAGGGCCUAGGGGCAUUUCCUUAUAUGCCAAAUAUUGCAUUUGGUCUUGAAAAGAAAAAAAAAAAAAAACUCAUUUUCCUUCAUCUUUUUCCCUUCCCCCGUCAAUAUCUCCUUCUCCCUCCCUUAACCUCCCAUUUCGGCAGCCACUCGACAUCUGAUUACAGCCAAAAUAGGUCCUUAGUGUUGUCGUCAUCGUGCCACCACCAAGCUCGCCUGAAAAGGCCAAGAAAUGGCAGAAUGAGGAGAAGGAAGCCGCCACUUGCUAUCGCCUCUGGUACAAUUACUUGCUGGUGUUUUCUAGCCAAACCAAUGCUAGAAGCAACUUCCUCGGACCUUAAACCUGAAUUGGGACUGUUAUAACCCCUAACGUCUCCUAUAAACUAGUGACCAGAGCUGGUGUAGCUUCGCCGCACUUGCUUGAUUUUUAGGAUUUUUGGUGAUUGUGUGGUGAAAAUAAUUGUAUAUUUGGACUCCUUGCAUCUCGAUCUACAAGUGGGUGCCUUCGGAUUCAAUUUCCGAGACUGUUAGAAAUUCCAACAAUUGGACCUUAGUGUUUUCAGGAUGUGCGUGACAGCGGAUAUUCGUCUCGGUAUAACUUUUCUGAACCUUAAAAAUUUAAUUUAUAUUAUUGGUAAUUAUUUAACUUAUUAUUUAUUAAUUAAUUAUAAAUAAUUAAUAGUUUAAUUAUAUAUUAUUGUGGGUGAAACUUUUAUAAGUUAAUUAUUAAUUGAUAAAUGUGAUAGAUAAUUGAUUGUGAAUAAAUUUAGUUUCUUAUUGGGAGUUUUUGUAAACUAAUCGUGAAUUGAGAUUAGUAAACCGAUUAAUGCAUUAUUAUUUAUUUGCAUUUUGAUGUGUUGUUGAGUCAAGAAAAUAUUGUAAAUGGGAGUGACUUGACUCUAGUUAAAUAUUAAUAAUUAUUUAAAUGCGAGUGUCUUGUCAAAUUUUGGUAAAAUUUUCAAAUCAAGAUUAGUCGAGAUUUUAAGCAGUCUACUUCUUGAAAGUCUAGGAUUAGGAUUGUUGUAGAAUUUUAUAUUAGUUAAAUUAUUUAUGUAAAUGGAUAUUCAACCAGCUUUGUUGGAGUUAUAAGAGCAGCUAAAGAUUUCAUUAGAAUUGUGUGUUAAUGUUAUAUAACUAACCGUAUUUAUAUCAUAUCAAUAUUUAAUUUAAAUAUUAUUAAAGUUAUUAUUAUUAUCAUUAUUAUCGAUAUGAUUACUAUUAUCUUUAUUAUUAUUAUUAUUACUAUUUGUUAUUAUUGCAUUUCAAUUACUAUUUCUGUAUUAACUCAUGUUAUUAAAUUUAAUAUUUUAAUAUUAAAUUAGAUAAUAUUAUUUUUAUCUUAUUCGUAUUAUUAUUAUUGCUAUUAAAUUUUAAUUUUAUUUGGAAUGUGGAUGAUAGUAAAACGUGUCAUUUGAUGGGUUGCAUCACAACUGCGUGUGCAUCGGUAAAAAUCAGAGACAUGAAUCAAAAGGUUAUGUAUGAUAUGCCCUGGUCGAGCAUGACUCUAUGGGCUUACAAGAUUUAGAAACUAAUAGAGGAAAGGUCCAUACUCGAACUUAGCUCUCUAGUCACCGACUGAGUUGGAAAUUAAACUAGAUUUAAGAACUAUGAUUGAGCUUUGCUCUUCGGGCGCCAGUCUUAUUGGAUAUAAGAGAGCUUAUUAGGUAAUAUAAUUGGAGUCUAGAGUUCUGCUAAUAUUCUCGUCCUACUUUUAUUAAAAUUGAAUUUUUCUAAAUUAAUAACAUGACGCGUGAUUAUCAAUUAUCGAAAAUAUAUAUUUAUUUAUUCAUUUGUUUAUUUAUUAUGAGAUUGUUUAAUUUGGAGGCAAUAUUUAUUUUUGGAUUAUAUGAUUUUGACUUACUCUCAAGACUAACAGUCUUAAAUUUAUUUUUUAGGUGAUAGUUAGGACUUUCUGUUGCUUCAUUAUUUUGCCAGCCCGAUUUCUUCCAUCUUCGGGUUCAAUGUAAUUGCUUUCACUAUAUUUUUGCAUUUCACUUAUAGAGGCUCUGCAGUACUUAUUUUAGGACUUAAUUAUGUAUGUUUGACAUUUAUAUCUGAUAAAUAUUAUUAAGUAGGAUGAUGGUAUUGUUGGGUUAAAAUAUGUUUUAUUAAAUUAUUGAUUAGUCACGCUUGCUAUCGAUCUCAGUGACUUUAUGCAUACUUAUUCUCUAGUGCCGAUCACGGAUUCAUAGAUCGGAUCAUAUGACAGUUGCUUUGUCCACAGCUAAGGCAUAAUACAUCUCAGCAGGGAACUAUGUUGCUUAAAACUUAUGGAUAAGGAAACAAUUAGAAGACUAUGAACUGUUUCACAAACAUAUACCAAUUCAAUGUGACAACACCAAUGCCAAUCAACCUCUCGUAAAAUCUUGUAUAACAUUCAAGAACCAAUCAUAUUGAAGUAAGAUAUCACUUCAUCAGAGAUCAUGUUUGUAAUACUCAGAAUUUUUUUUAUUUAAUAAUGAUUAUAUUAAUAAUAAUUAAUAAAUAAAUUUUAUUUAAAUUAAUUUACUUUAUUUUUAUUUGGUUUAAUUUGGAAUGAUUUAAUGGAAAUUUUAAUGCUAGACAAAUAAAGGAGUUAUUUUCUAUAUCCAAUUAGUUUGAUUUUUAAAAAAUUAAUUAAUUAAAUUAUUUGAGAAAUAAAUUAUAUUUUGGUUAUUCAAAUUUUUUCUCCAAAUGAAUAUAUAUAAAUUAAAUUUUAUAUUUGAGAAUUAUGGAAGAAUUUGUAAGGGAUAUUUUAUAAAAGAAUUAUUUAGAAAAAUGGCAUUUUAAUUAGCUAAUGGUGUUAAAUUUUAAUUAAAAAAUAUUUAGCAAAUUGGUUAACUAAAUUAAUUGUGUGUUAGGACUAAAUUGAAAAUUUAUUUUAUAAUAAAGAAUAAAAGUAUAAUUUUAUUAAUAUGUGGUUUUAAUAAAAAUUUGUAUGUUUGUAAUUUUUGUAAUUAAAUAUGUUGGCAAGGGCUUUCUGAUAAUUUUAAUUUAAAAGCAAGGGUAAAUAUGUAAUUGUGUAUUUUCAAUAAUUCUAAUUUGGCUCAAAUUAAAUAGUUAGGGGCUUAAUGGAAAAACUAAAAAAAUAUUUAAGGGUUAAUUGAAAUUGUUUAGGAUGAGAUUGUUAGUAAUUAAAAAGUUGAGGAACUAAAUGGUAAAAAAUAAAAGUUUAGGGACCUAUUGUCGACAAUCGUUGAAAGAAAAGAAAAGAAGAAAAGGAGAAAGAGAGGAAGUCGACGUCGGGGGGGGGGGGGGGGAGAAGGAAGAAGCUCGCUACUGUCCAUGGCAGCCGGAGGAAGAGUCCGUCCGAGGCGUCGCGGAGCCAGCUGGCGGAAGAGCCGACGCCGGCGAGUCCAGCGGCGGCGGCAGUGUAAAAAGAAAGGGGGAGGGGGGAAGUUGAGGCGGCUGUUCGGCGCCAUUAGUGGCGUGUCCGUCGGCGCCAAGGAUGGCGAUCGGCUUGUCGGAGAGCGAGCUUUCUUUUGGCGGCAGCGGCGACGCUUCUGGUGGCCGGAAUUAGGAGAUCCGAUGGAGAGAGAAAGAAGGGGCAGCCGAUGUUCUCUGGUUUUUCCGGCGAGGGAUGGAUGAUCGAAGGACGUAUCCAGACUCUUCUCAGCUCAAGCUUCGCAAUGACACUAGUUUCGUGGUGAUCAGACUCCGUUUGCAAAUCGACGGCCUAGAUCGUUUAUAAAUGUCUCCAAUUGAUCGGGGGUCGGAUCGGAAAAUCAGAAGUAGUGAUCGUCAUCAGCGCGUCAGCUCAAGUCCGUUGGUGUGUUCGGAUCGUCGAUCGAACUCCGGCGGCUGGAGGCGAGUCGACCGAGCUAUCAAGCGUCUCGGUAAUUUUCUCCGGCCUGCUGAUUUUAGAAUUAUUUAGUAAGUUAUAUGUUUAUUGAAUUGUGUUGAGCAUUAUCGAUAUUGUGUGUUAAAAUAUUUUAUUUGCCGGAUUGUCUGCCUUAGAUCGUGUUUUAUGANNNGAUCGUGUUUUAUGAUGUGUGGCGGAGUUGGAAAAUAGUGAAGUCUUGGGGACCCGACUCCCGUUAAAAUGAAUUGUUAAAUAUUUGAAGUGUUUUCUGGCAGGUCCUAGACCCGUUUUACGGGGGGUAAAUGUUCGUAUUAUAGGUGAGGUUCUGCCGAAUUUUCGUUAGAAUUUACCCGAGUCGAGAUUUUUAGACAGUCACUCCUAGGAAUCUAGACCUAGGGUUAAUUGUCAACUGCUUCAGCAUUAUUAAUAAAUUGUUUUUCGUGAUUAUAUAAAUCUGUCAGUUCGGCUCGCUCCACCCGAGGCAUCGGAGUAGAGCUAGGAGGUCGUCAAAGCUGUGAGUUAAAGUCAUGUAUGCUCUUUGAUUACUAUUCAUAUAUAUCAUGUUUUUCAUCACUAAAUUUAUUAUUGCCUGAUGACUCGAGAUGGAACGAUAGUAGAACAUACUAUUUUGAUGAGUGCAUCGGUAUAAAUCCGAGAGGAAUAGAAAAGGGGUAAACUAGUAAAUUUUAAAAAGGUAAGUUUAGGACUUGCCCUGGUCGAGCAUUGCUUUCUGGGCUGAGUAGAGUGAGUGUGCCGGAGUAAAGGACCCUAGUCGAGCAUUGCUCUCUGGGCGCCGGCUUAUUUGGAAACCUAAGUGACUAGACUGGAGUUAAGGACACUGGUCGAGCUUCGCUCUCUGGGCGCCAGUCUUAUUGGAGUAAGAGAGCCGAAAGGCUAAGAGUGUUAGUGAUAAUUAAGUGUCUGAACUGGAUUUAAGGACCCUGGUUGAGCCUCGCUCUCUGGGCGCUAGUUCUGUUAGAAUGAGAGAGAGUCGAGAUGUUCAGUAUUGGGAUUAGGGUUCUGCUGAGGUACUCCGUUCCGUAGUGUGUGAAAAUUAUUUUACAUAAGCAUGACAUGAACACAUUUAUUUUUGCAUGACUUAUUAUUUAUUUCAAAUUAAAUAAAUAUGUUAUGGAAAUGUUGUAAAUGCUUUUGGAUAUAUGAUUUUAACUCACUCUCGAGACUGACAGUCUCAAUUUUACUGUUUUUCAGAUCCGUAAUUGUUAGUCUUCCCGCGGCUCUUAUCUAGCAACCCGACUCCUUCAUCAUCAGGUGAUGUAAUUGAUUUGGUAUGUUAAAUUGUAAAAUCUUAGAUUCUCCAUAAUAAAAGUAAUAGACUUAUUAGUUGUAAUUUUAUGCAGUUUUGAGUAUCGCCUAAUUCUUCUGGCAGACCAAAUUAAAUAUGUAGAAUUUAAUGAUUAAGAAAUUGUGACAUCAGUAAUAUGAGAUGAAAUUUAAUUAAGUUAAUGAGUGUCAGGUUUACUACGGGAUUCGGUGGCCUUACGCCUACUCAUUCUCUAGUGCCGGUUACGGGCCCACAGAUCGAGUCGUGAGGAGAUAUCCAAUUAGAAUUUAUCCCAUCAGAUGAGCAAUUGACAUACAUCUUAACUAAACCUCCUGGUAAAGAUUAAUUCUAUAAAAUUUUAAAAUCCAUUGGUAUUAGUACUCAAUUCAACUAUGAUACAUCUAAUUUGCUCUUCAAUGAUUAUCCAACUAUGCCAUGUGUCAUAUACUUCUAAAUACAUGAUUAUUUUAGUACUUAUUUUAAUGUAAUGUUAUUUUUUUUAUUUUGAAGUAUCAUUGGUAAAUUAUUUUAAAGAGACUAAAUCCAAAAUCUUUUCUUUUUCAUCAUAUGCACUAACCUAUUUGGCUUGUAAAACAUGAAGAAAAGGAAAGAGAGUAUGACUCGAUGGCUGCGUAAAAAACAGAGAAAAAGACUUGAUGGGACUAGAGAAGAAAGAAAAAAAUUGACACAAAUAUAAAAUGAAUGGAUGCAUGACAAAAAAGGAACGGUUAUUAAUGAUCAAAUAGGACUAACUAUUGGGUAUUUGAAACUUCUAUCCCUAUCUCCAUUUUAAAAAGGAAAAUACAAUCUUCAUCUUCUCAUUAUUUAUUUAUCUCGACUUUUCUCUUUCUUUUAAGCCUUAUUUUUCAAAAUGUCAACUUAUCUCUCUCACAUAUCUCUAAAUCCUUCGAUAUCUUUUUGAGAUAAGCAAAAGAAAAUCCUUCUUCUUCACUCAUCUCACAUACAUGACCAGAAAAGAAAAAGUCUUCAACACCUCCACUACCUCAAUGCGACAAACUAAAACAGAAAAGAAAUCCUAAGCUCCUUAGAUCUCCAUCUGUGCAGACAAUUAUAAGAUCAUGCAAUCUAGGAUUUUCAAUUGGAAGAUAUUCAAUGAUAAGGCUAUGAAGUUUAAAUAGAAGUUUGAAUUUCAAGGCUGGGUUCCAUUUAUUCACUAUAAAGAGAAAUUUAUGAGAAACUUACCUUUGAGUUCUACAGAUCAAACACGAAAGUGACAGAUGAGCUGGUUUGGGUGAGUAUUAAAGGCGAAGCAAAGGAAAUCACACUAAUCUAUUAGGAAAUGUUAUGGGUUUACUAGUAGAAGGAGCAAAAAUUACUGAACAACACUAGUGACAAAGUUAUUCCCGGAUAUGACAAGAAGAGAUUCAUCUAAGAGCUGAGGGCCAAUCAACCAACUUUUGGUAAGGAAUUCAUUACUGACUAUGGCCUUCAUGGUAGAAUGUUGCAUGAGUUCAUAGCCUAAUGUUUUAUUAAGGAUGGGUAGCUUAGACUCUAUCACUAAACUAGAUUUAAAGAUCAUGUGGCACAUAGCUAAGAAAUAAAAAUUACGCCUUCCUUAUCUACUAUUGAAUGUAAUCACAAAUAUGAACCCUACCAGUGGAAUGCCUUACAGUAUGUACCUUUGUUAUUUAAACACUUUAGGGUUCUUCUUAAAGAUGGAAUAGAGUUGAAACUAAGUGAUGUUUUUGGAAAAUUCACUAUCAACAACAGUAAGUACAGAGAAAAGGAUGAGGUUGAUUAACUAAAACAUAAUGGGAAACUCUUGGAGUAACGGGUGAGGUAAGGAAGAGAAAAUCCAAAGCAAAGAGACAUCUAAGUUUAGUGGAUGAGGGGUUUGAUAACAAUAAUAAAGAUAAUGAGGAACUUGAGAAAAAGAAAUAUGUAGGCGAGAAGGAGAAAUCUAAUGAAAAGGUCGAGACAUUUGUGUUGAAUAGAGCUUAUAUAAAGCUUAUUGUUAACAAACUUCAAGUGCUUAAUAAUUAAACAAAUGACAAAAGAGAAAGAGAUGUCUAUGAAAAAUAAUUUUAUUUGAUACUAAAUAUUGUCUUAUAUAGACACAUAUAUUUUCCACUUUCACCAGAUUUACAGAAUAAAAAGGAAAAUAAAUAGCUAACAAUCCACUACAUCUAUGACUUAUUCAUAGCUAAUUUAUAGGAAAUAAAGCCAAAAAGUUACAGACCCUUAUCAAUAAUUAUUCUAAAACAAUAUUCAAUACUCCCCUUCAACAUCAGCUUCUGGUCUUUUCACCAUGCCAAGUUGAUUGCAGAAAUUUUCAAGUUUAUUGCUGCCCAAGCCUUUUAUAAACAAAUCUGCAGCUUGUCUUUCUGUUCCAACAUGCUCCAACUGAAUUUCUUCUUCCAAGACCUUCUCUCUGAUAAAAUGAUAGUGCACCUCCACAUGUUUAGUUCUUGCGUGAAAAACUGGAUUUUCUGCUAAUCUUAUGGCUGAAAGGUUGUCGUAAUACAAAUGAAUAUCAUACUCUAUUGAUUGAUGCAAGUCCUUCAAUAAUAACACAAGCUAAGUGCUUUCUUGAGCUGCCAUCGCCGCUGCUCGGUAUUCUGCUUCUGUUAUUAAUAAAGACACUGUCUGUUGUCUUUUGCUACACCAAGAAAUUGCUCCAGACCCAAGCAUGAAAAUAUAUCAAGUAGUUGAACGUCGAGUAUUAUGGUCACCUGCAUAAUCGGCAUCGCAGUAGCCAACUAACUUGCAAUCUCCAUCUUUCUUGUACAUAAUACCAUAGCCAAGUGUACUCUUUACGUAUCUCAAGAUUCACCGAGCUGCUUCCAAAUGGGGUUUCUUUGGAUUUUGCAUGUAGCGACUUAUCAGACAAACUGCAAAAGAAAUAUCCGGUCUAGUCAAAGUUAAAUAGAUAAGGCUACCUACCAACCGUCGAUACAUCAUAGCAUCUUCCAAAUCUUUCCCUUCAUGAGCACAUAAUUUUACAUUUGGCUCCAUCGGUGUCAUGAUUGGCUUGCAUUUAAGCAUUCCAAACUUUUCAAUAAAUCUUUGGAAUAUUUUUGUUGCUUGAGAUAUAUUCCUUCAUGCGUAUGAUCAAUCUCCAGACCAAGGAAAUGCUUGAGCUGUCCAAGUUCUUUCAUUUGAAACCAAACUGAAAAGUUCUUUUUGGUUUGGAGAAUCUCUUCUUCAUAAUUUCCUGUGACAAUUAAAUCAUCUACAUACACUAGCACAAUAGCUAGCUUCACUUCUUCAGCUUUGACGAACAAGCUAGAAUUUGCAGAUGUCACCAAAUAACCACUUUAAGUCAAAAAGUCAGCAAUUUUACCAUACCAUGCCCUCGAUGCUUGUUUUAGCCUAUAGAGUGCCUUCCGAAGUUUACACACAUGCUCAGGAUGAUCUUUACUCUGAAAACCUAUUGGCUGAUUCAUGUAGAUAUCCCGGUCUAACUCCCCAUGUAAAAAUGCAUUCUUCACAUCGAGCUGCCACAGGUUCCAACUUUUACUAGUUGUGAGUGCUAGUAGGACUCGUACAAUAGUAAGCUUUGCAAUUGGACUAAAAGUUUCAUCAUACUCUAGUCCAUAUUGUUGAGAGAACCCUCGAGCUACCAAAUGAGCCUUGUGUCUCUCUAUUGACCCAUCAAUGCGAUGCUUUAUCUUGUACACUUAUUUGUAGGAGAUAGGCUUCACAUCUCUUGGCUUUGGUAUAAGCUCCCAAGUUUGAUUUUUCUCUAACGCAUAAAUUUCCUCUUCCAUAGCUUUAUUCCAUUCAUGAUUUUGACAUGCUUCCUCAAAUGUCUCUGGUUCCGUUGCAUCUGCUUUUUCUACUAUGGUGGCAUUUGCGUAUCUAGGAUUUGGCUUUCUGAUCCUCGUUGAUCUUCUAGGCAUAAUCCGUGUUUCUGCUUCAUUAAUGUCUCCUUCUUCGCUUAGUUGUUGAUGGACACCGGUUUGCCAAGGACUUUGGCUACUCUUUCAUUGAUCUCACCAUCUUGAUUUACAUCUUUAGUUUCAUCCGAUCUCAAUUGAAAUUGAGAAGUUUGCAAUAGAUCAGUAAAGACAUUUGAAUCUGAAGAUACCUCUUUGUUUGAGGACCACCAUGAAGAGGCUUCAUCAAACACUACAUUUCGAGAUGUGUAGCAUUUUCCAAUUGCUGGAUCGCAACAAUGCCACCCUUUCCUUUGACUAUCAUAUCCUACAAAGACACAUCUAACAGCCUUUUUUUCCAUCUUGCUACGUAAAUGAUCAGGUAUAAAUACAUAGCAUAUAUAUCCAAAGACUCAAAAAUGACCAACAACAGGCUUUAUGUUCCAUAUUUUCUCAAAAGGUGAGAGAAAACAUAACCUUUGUUGAGGUAGUCUGUUGAUCACAAAUGUUGCGGUUGUUAUUGCUUCUGCCCAAAAUAUGCCCGGAACAUUCUUUGCAUGAAGCAUGCUUCGACAAAUUUCUGUCAAGUGCUUGUUCUUCCUUUUGGCUAUGCCAUUUUACAGCGGAGUGCUGGCACAUGUAAAAUGAUGGCGUAUUCUACACUUCAAAAGAAACUCUAAGAACUCACCUGAGGUGUACUCCCCCCUAUUGUUUGUACAUAGACAACAAAUACUUCUACCAACUUCUGCUUUUGCCACUUUCUUGAACUCUUUGAAUUUUGAGAGUGUUUCAGAUUUUUCCUUCAUAAAGUAAACCUACACAUACCUCGAGAAAGUGUCAAUAAAAGUUACCAUGUACCUCAUCCCACCAAUGGAAGCUUGUUUAACUGGUCCAAACACAUCAGAAUGAAUCAACUAUAGUGGUUCAUUGGCUUUAAACUUUGACUCUUCAUACGGCAACCGGUGUGCUUUUCCAUAUUGACAGCCUGCACAUACAGUGUUUGACCUCACUUCAAGUUGUGGGAGUCCCUUUAGCAUUGACUUCCUCAUCAUCACAUCUAGCUUGGAAUAGUUAACGUGACUUAGUCGCAUAUGCUAUAGAUCUGCCGUCUCGUUCCUCCUCGCCUUCUCUACGUAUGUUGUUUCUGCAGACAUCACAAAGGCUGAUUCCGACCUUUUCCGACCUUUGCCCCUUCAUGAUUGGCUCUUCUAUGAUCUUAACAUGAUCCUGAUAUACUUUUACAUCUUGUGGACCAAACAAAACAUAAUAACCAGAAGAUGUUAAUUGUGCUACUAAGAGAAGAUUUUUCUUCAUACCUGGGACAUGAUAAACAUUUUGGAGCAGCAACUCUGUAUCAUUAUAGUGGGGAGGGACUACUGUAUUACCAAUAUGAGCGAUUGACAAUUUUGAGUUGUUCGCCGUCACCACUACCCGGCUUCCCUUGUAUUUUAACGUGUUCUGCAACUUCUCUUUAUCACCGGUCAUAUGGUUUGAGCAACCUGAGUCAACAAUCCAAUCAUUCUCAUAAUCAAUUUGAUUAAAUGUUGUUGUACAUGUUGUCUCUUCUUCAUCUGCAGCAAAAAACGCCUUAGCAUCCCACUCGUCUUCACCUUUGGAAGUUGCAACAUUGCUCUCCACACCCUUCUUCUUUAGACCAACAAUCUUUCACCAUAUGACCCUUCUUUUGGCAGUUGUAGCACUUUCCUUCAAAUUUUCUUCCAUUGCCAAAUUUCUUAGGAUCUCCUUCUUCAUGGACACUCGAUUUACCUUGAUGACUUUUUGCCUUGUAAUAAUACCUUUUGGAACCACCUGUGACAUGUUGCUUAGAAUUCCACGUGCCUUUGUUGGCAUAGAGUGCCUCUUUUUCACUUUUCAAUAAGACUCCUCCCAUUUGCUUAGCUAAAGCUUCCUGGCCAGCUAGCAAAUUUUUGAAUUCUACGAGCGACGGCUGAUUUUGCCAUCCUUGAAUGGCAGCAACAAAACUCCUAAAUUAUGGCUUCAAACCAUGGAUGAUGAUCCUCUUUAUCCUGGUAACGCCAAUAGGAGCCUUUGGAUCCAACUCAGAAAUCUCUCGACAUAAUGACUUCACUUUAUAGAAGUAUUGUGCAAUUGUCAUGUCUUGUUGUGCCAUUGACAACAACUCACUCUCUAAGAGUUGGAGUUUCGUAUCGUUCUUCUUAGAGAACAGCUUGGCAAACACAUCCUAAGCUUCUUUGGGAGUUUUUGUAUCUCGAUGUGCUCCAAUACAUCCUCUUCAACUGUCGUCUUUAAAAUGAACAUUGCUUUGCCCGCUUUGAUCUUCCACUUCCGUAAUAUCCCAUUCGCAUCUUCAACCUCCGGUUAUUUUACUUCAUUUCUAGAUACAACCUCCUAUAGAUCUUGGCCUUGCAUGUAGGACAUCAUACAAGUAGACCAUGAAUUGUAAUUCUGGUUAUUAAGCUUCUUGAUUCCACCAACUACUUGAAGGUCACCCAUCUUGUGCUCAUAAUCAAGCUCUGAUAUCAGAUUGUUGAACAGAGUUAUAUAAAGCUUAUUGUUAAUAAACUUCAAGUGCUUAAUAAUUAAACAAAUGACAAAAGAGAAAGAGAUGCCUAUGAAAGAUAAUUUUAUUUAAUACUAAAUAUUGCCUUAUAUAGACACAUAUAUUUUCCACUUUCACCAGAUUUACAGAAUAAAAAGGAAAAUAAUUAGCUAACAACCCACUACAUCUAUGACUUAUUCAUAGCUAAUUUAUAGGAAAUAAAAUAAGCCAAAAAGUUACAGACCCUUAUCAAGAAUUAUUCUAAAACAAUAAGAUAAACUUAAUCAAUAGGGGACCUACGAGCUGGUGUUGAUUUAUUCAAUAAUUUGAAAAGAAGAGAAAAGCAAAGAAUUGAUUAACUUGAACAAGGACUUUUUGGCCAAAGUAGAGCAACAAGACUUAGUAGGAAAAGAAAUGCCUAAAAAACAAUACUCAAAUUCCUAAGAGGAAUCAACUGAAGGAACAAAAUAUUAGACAGUUAGCACCAAUAAGAAAUUUGAUUAUGAGGAAGAAAAAUCAAAUGAAUCAGAAAAGAGCCCUGAUUUGACUGAAAAAGAACGAGAAGAAACAUAAAAAUAAAAAAAGUAAAGAAGAAGCAAAAGUUUGCAUUAUUGUUUUAAGGGAUCAUAAUUCAAUCAAUAAUUUAUGGAGUAAGAUCACUACUGCUCUUAAUAGUCAUUUGACUGCAUUGUCAAACCAACAGCUGUAUAUGGAUCUUGAUCUUAGCUCAGAUGUCUAUCAUUUAUUUAGAGAGAUUUAGAAGAAGUAGAGUGAUUUUGAAUAGUACCUUUGAAAAAAGCUUAAAAGAAGAGUUUCAACAGUUUAAGUAUGUGGAAAGAGAUGUAUGACAUAAUUGAAGGACUUAACUGUCUCUCAUCUCAGACUGAGAAGAUGUAUGUUGAGGAAGCUACUACUAUUUGAAAGAAAAGAAAAGGAAAAUUGUCUGAAAGUGAGAGUCCAGUUAGCUCCACUGAUGAAGAGAGAUAAGGAAAGAAGAUCAAGCUUGCUGAGGAACGGGCGAAAGAGAAGAGUGCUAAAAGCACCAAGGUCUCCAAGACCACUAAGAAGGGAAGAAAGCAUAGAUCUACUAAGCCCAUCCUCCAAGUUUACUACUUCAUUUCUUCUUCUUCUGUCUCAAAGCCUUUUAAUUUUUUUGACAAUUUGAACAAUAUUUGUUUAUGAAUGCUAAGUAUCAUUUUUUUUGUUGAUGACAAAGAAAUGGAGAAAUAUUUUUGCAUGUUGGAUAUGCUCAGGGGAUAUCUUGAAAUACUAUUGCAUGAACACAAAUAGGCAUCUGCAUAGGGGGAGCAUGCCUUAGAAUAAUUUGAAUAGAUUUAUUUUUAAUCCAUUGCUAGUAUAAUACUUGUUAUUUUUUCUUACAUAAAUCUUAUGGAUGCGUUUAAAAUGUUGAUAUUGGAUACAUAUACUUGUCUUUAGCUAUCUAGUUUGUAGGUACAAACAUCUAACUAUACAGUUAGAUUUCUACAGUGUGUAAAUUGCAGAUAAUUUAAAAAGUGUCAUGGUCACCAAAUAGUGUGUUUUGUUAUCAUAAAAAGGAGGGAGAUUGUUAGCCCCAAGAAGCUAAUAAUUUUGAUUUUGAUGAUAACAUGAGAUUGCAUGUUUUUGUACUGUGUAUAUGGACAUCUAAUAGUACACGUACAAAGCAGAUUUGAUUAGAUGACUGGCAAAAUAGAAAGUUCCAUCAGACAUCUACCUUGAUCAAAGGUAACAACGGACACUCCAAACAUAAUUUAGGUGUAAGCAAUCUCUAUUGGGAAUUUGUGCGUCUUAGAUAUCUUGUUAAAUGGAUCAAGUUGCUUUUCCAAAAUGAAUUUCUUGUACAUUGUAAAAUUUUAAAUCUUUUUCUAAUUUUAAAUCAUGAAAAUAUAUUUUAAUUUUCUCAAAGUGAUUGAGAAAACAAAAAUUAUUAUUCCCUUAAUAUCACAUCUUUUAAGAUAUCUGUUUUAGAUUAGGCAUCUAUGCGAUACCUUAAAGGUAUCUAUCUGUUAUCUAGUAUGAUACAUCAUUUUCCAUACACUUACAUAUUCUUCACAUAUGUCGAAAUGGCUAGUUUUAUUGGGCGAAAUGGAAGCAUCCUCACACUAUCAAUUUUAGUUGUCUAACACAAUGACAAGCCUUUUCUAGCAGCUUUCUAUUGACUAUUGAUAGAAAGCUGUAAAGUGUGUGAGAUGUCUAAAUCAGCAACUCUAAAGUUCUUUAAAGCAAAUUUUGAAAAGGUGUCUUUAUGUAUAUAUUUAAACUUUUUAGCAAUGUCUCUAACAACUAGCUUUUCUGUUGCUCUAUAAAUAAAGGCUUUACCUACCAAAUCAAUAAGGAAGAAUAACUUUACUUUCCAAAACUCUCAAGAACUGAAAAGGCUUAUCACUCUUUCUAUUCAUCUUUUAUUCUUGAGUGUUUAAAUUUAUGAUGUUCCAAAAUUAGUAUUUCUUGCAUUAAAAUUGCAUAUGAUUUGUAUAGAAAUUUUGUUCAUUUUUAUUUAUUGCUUUCAAAAGAGAAAAUCUCUUAUAACAUUUCCAAGCUCCUUGUGUUAAAGUUUGUGGUUUAUAGGGUGAUACUUCCUCCUUUCUAAGAGUUUGUUAGAUGUCUAUUUUAACCUAAGAAGCAAGAGAGAGAUUGAUAUAAGCCUAAUAACUUCUAUGGGUUAGUGAGAGAGGAGAUAUUUCAAACUGUAUAAGGUGUCUUAGUAUCAAAACCUUAUAAGGCUUGAUCUCUAGCCAAUAAUAGAGUCAAACAAUGGAGACAAUCUUAAGGUGAAAUUCUUAACGACUGGAUGUAGGUCUUAGUACCGAACUAGGAUAAAUCUUUGUGUUGAUUUUUAUUAAAUUGUAAUUCAUUAGACAUCCAAUACUACUACAUACUCUGUUAGUUGUCUUUUACAUCUAAAAAAUGAGAAUUACUACUUAGACAUCCAAUUAUUUUUAAAAGAACAUCAUAUAGCUUUCUCCUUGCAUCCUCUUACUCAUAUAAUCUAUAAGAGCUUACAAGUUAAGAUAGUUGAGNNNNNNNNNNNNNNNNNNNNNNNNNNNNNNNNNNNNNNNNNNNNNNNNNNNNNNNNNNNNNNNNNNNNNNNNNNNNNNNNNNNNNNNNNNNNNNNNNNNNNNNNNNNNNNNNNNNNNNNNNNNNNNNNNNNNNNNNNNNNNNNNNNNNNNNNNNNNNNNNNNNNNNNNNNUCAAGCUCAUAAUAAAUUCUUGUAGAACUAUCUUAUAAGCGUUUGAUAAACUAGUAAUGUACGUAAGCUAGAAAAUUUUGAAAAGUUCAAUUUAUCCCCUCUUAGACAUCUAUUCUGCACUUUCAUACUUAAAUUUAGAAUUUCUAUAGGUAAAACUAUCAUUUGAAAAAUCCCAUAUUUAAAAGCAAAAAUAAAUUUUAAAAUUUAUAGUACAUAAUUUAUGGGCGGCAGUUUUGGGGCAUGCACCCAAGUGUUUCUAGCGACUGUGACAAUGCAAGGCUUUUCAACCUAAUUCAAGCAUAUAUUAACUAGUCACACAGAAAAGGAGUCGCCAUCCAGAUAAUUCUCUAAGACAUUUUUACUAAUUGAGUGGCAUACUAGAUUCUAUAAGAAAGCUUCGCCAUAUCUAGAGAUGGGUCUAGAAGCCAACUUCCUUAGUUGUAUAUCCCUAUUUUUAAAUUUAAUGUUUAACGGGUUAUUCCCCAUAAACACAACAUUUAUAAUUCUAUGAUUAAUCACUACAACAUAUGAAGCCCACUUAAAUAUAACACAUUUUAGUUAAGCCCAAUUCUUAAUUAUAUUGUUAGCCUAAAUUUACUACUCAAUUAUACUCAAGAGGCUACUCUAGUAUAGCCUAAUUACAAAUUAUGCGAAGUCCUUAUCCUAAUUGGGCUAUAUUUUCCAUGCCAAGGCCCAAUUCAAUCUCCUUAUGCUAAGUAAGUCCAUUAAUUAACUUUAAACAUGAUAAAAAUUCUACCAAGUCUAAAUGGAUUUUAAUUUAGGCCCAAUUUACUAAUAUUUAACCUAAUGGACUGUAAUUUACAUGUAAAGCGCAAUUUUAAGCCUAUGUUUAGGUGUUCAAUUUUAAUUAACAAUCAUACAACAAUUAUUUUUUUAUUCAUCUAGCAAAAUAAAGUAAAAAUAAAUAAACAAAAUAAAGAAAGCAGUAAAUCUAAAUUAUUACAAUCCUUCCCACAACUAAUAAACUUAAAAAAAAAAACUAGUUUAGGUCAAAAAAGGCGAAAAGAAAUAAAAAAGGGCCCGAAAUUGCAAAAUAUGACAGAUUUAGUUGCCCGUCCAGCUGGUGAUAUUACAAAGUUGAUCAACUCAACAAAUAAACAAUCAAUUGUGCAUUGAGUCGAUCGGCUCUAUAGUCCUGUUCUAGGCUGAUUUGGUACUUUUAGGCACUCCAAGCUCAAAAUUGUAAUGCACAUGCACCAAAUCACGUGAAACAUGAUUAACAACAUAUAAAGGAUGAGAUCAUGUAUAGAAUAAUUAACUGUUAAGGCAAUAUAAUACCAAAUAAACUUAUAGUAAGUAAAUUUUCUAAUAUGGCAAUUUCUACAACUGAUGCUAAACUAAUCAUGCCACCCUAAUUAGUUUAUGCCAAAACCCAUAAAUCAUCCUUAACCAAACAUAUUGAUUCAUAUACAUGAUUAUAAGAUUCAUAAUUUGAGAGUAUAAGUAAAUUUUUUCAAAAUCAAAGAAACAUGCAUAUAAUAGAAACACAUAAAUCACAUAGAAAACUUGAUUCUAAGCAUGUUAAUCAUAAGAAAAUAAUCCCAACAAAAAAUCAUGUUAUUCCUAGCAUAUUCCUAAUAAAGUAACAAUCAAAAUAUAAAAGAAAAGAUCAUAAGAGAGAAGAAGUAUUAUAAUAUGAUUUGAAACCAUUAUAAACUUAAUAUUUUAUUCAAUUUCCUGUGUAUUUUUCCUAAAACAAGUCAGACUUAUAUACAAAGAGAAAGGAGAAUUAAAAAGGCAAGAUAGUAAGAUACAAGCUGUAUACUAUAUUAACUCCUUGAUUAUAGGCAUGAGUUGAUGAGAAUGAUUCCUUUGAAUAUUUUCUUGAUUUUCUGCAGUGAUAUUUGUUUCCGUUGUCUUUGUGAAAUAUUUUGUUUCCUUAAUUAGCUUUUCUUCCUUAUCAACCCCCUUCAAGUUGGAGACGGAGUGUAAAUGGAGUCCCAUCUUGUCGCAAAGGAAAACAAAAGGUGCCUUUGGUAAGGACUUGGUGAGAAUAUCUACUAUUUGAUGUGAAGAUGGCACAAACCAUGUGACAAGAUGACCCAUGGCUACCUUUUCUCGGAUAAAAUGAUAGUCUAUUUCGAUAUGCUUUGUCCUCGCAUGAAAAAGAGGAUUAACCGACAUAUGAAGAGCGCUGAGAUUAUCGCAGAAUAAUUAUGGAGCAUGAAGUAAAGGGAUGCCAAUGUCAUGUAAUAAAAAUGUGAGCCAAGUUAAUUCAGUUAUGGUGGAAGCCAUGGACCUAUAUUCUGCUUCUGAACUAGAUCGAGCAAAUGUAGGUUGCUUCUUUGAACACUAAGAGAUGCAAUUUGCACCUAAAAAAGCACAAAAACUUGUUGUGCUUCGUCUGAUUAAAGGACAACCUGCCCAAUCGGCAUCUGAAAGAGCAUACAAAGAGAGAGGACUGUUAGAAAUGAACCGUAAGCCAUAGUCUUAUGUACCUUUAAGGUAGCAAAGAAUUCGCUUGACUACUUUAAGAUGUAGUUCUGUGGGGGAGUUGAAGAAUUGACAAACUUUAUUUACAACAUGUUGAAUGUCUAGUUGAGUGAAUGUGAGGUAUUGAAGAGCGCCAACGAUACUUCUAUAAUAAGUAGCAUUUACACCAUUUUAUUUUGACAUAUUAUCGUUUUCUUUGAGAACCAUAGGAGUAGCAUUAAGAGUACAAUCGGCCAUCCUUGUACGGCUGAGAAAAUCCUUGAAAUAUUUGCCUUGAGAAAGAAUGACUCCUCCAUUGAAGUAUUUAAUUUCCACACCUAAAAAGAAUGUUAGAUAUCCAAGAUCCUUUAUAGCAAAUUCUGCACUCAAUUGAUGAAUUAAAUUAGAGAUAAAGGAGUCAUUAUUUCCGGUCACCAAUAUGUCAUCUACAUAGAUGAGAAACAAUAUUGUAACAGAAUUUUGACGAUAAACAAAUAAAGAAGAAUUUGCCUUACUACAAUAAAAAGUAAGAUGAUGAAGAAACCGAGAUAAGCAAUCAAACCAAGCUCAAGGAGCUUGCUUUAGUCAUAGAGAGACUUGUGAAGAAGGUAUAUAUGAUUAGGUUUGUGCGGAUCCACAAAACCAGGGGGUUGUUCGAUAUACACAAUCUCCUUUAAAUUUCCAUGCAAAAAGGCGUUCUUCACAUCCAGUUGUUUCAUGUGCCAAUUUAGAGAAGUUGAAAGUGCUAUCACAAGACGAAUAGUAGUAUGACGAAUAACUGGGCUAUAAGUCUCAUCAAAAUCAAUACCCGAGACUUGUGUAAAACCACGGGCAAUAAGACGAGCCUUGAAGCGCUCAAUAGAUCCAUUCUCUCAUUGCUUUAUACGAUAAAUCCAUUUUGACCCAACAACAUUCACAUUUUAGGGUCGAGGAACUAGUGACCAGGUUUGGUUUGAAUGAAGGGCAUGCAGUUCCUCUUCCAUGGCCAUAACCCAUCGAGGAUCUUUUAGAGCAACAUGAUAAUUUCGGGGUUCAACAGGUAACUCGAGUUGAGAUAGAUAGCAUUCAUAAUCUUGUAGAUGUUUUGGAGGUUGCCUAUGGCGUUGGGGAUGAACAUAAUUUUCACUUUCAUUAUUGUCGAUAUUUGUAUCAACAAUAUACCUAGGCAAGUCAUUUAGCAAAGUGAGAGUUUGUGUAUCUGCCAGUUCAGCUGCAACUAAGGUUUCAUCUUCAUGAGGCAGAUUAACAUCAGGCAAAACUCCAUUAUUGUCAGGAGAUUCAACAUUAUUAUCAUUAUUACAUUUGUCAUUAUCAUUAUUUUCAUCACAACAGUCGUUAGUAGUUAUAAUAGAUGUUUGAGUUGCUGACUCUACAUUUGUUCCUACCUUUGGAGGUUCAGCUUCAAGAGUGACUUUAAACCAUUCAUCAAGUGUUGGAAAUUCAACAAAUUCUAAUGGUACAAUAAUCGAUUCUUGAGGAGAGGGUUUAUAGAGGAAUUUACCUUCAUCGAAAACAACGUGUCUUGAUAUAUAUACUCUUUUUGUUUGAGGUUCAUAACACUUAUAACCCUUGUGAAUAGGACUAUAACCAAUAAAUACACAAAGAUAAGUUUUCUUAACAAAUUUAUUACCUCAUUGAUGUCUUAGAGAAGGAAAACAUAAGCAUCCAAACACUCGCAAGCUUUUGUAAUUUGGUUCUUUAUGAUAUAGUUUAGAGUAUGGAGACUGGUUGUGUAAAACUGAGGUUGGCAUUCUGUUGAUUAAAUAGACAACUGCAAGAAAAGCUUCAAUCCAUAAAAAUAAUGGCAAGUUAGCAUAAAAUAACAUAGUUAAACCUGUCUCAACAAUGUGCCGAUGCUUCCUCUCGGCCACUUUGUUUUGCUUUGGUGAUUCAGGACAUAAAACUUGGAGCUGAAUACCACAAUUACUAAUAUGACUGAGAAAAUCAAAAGAGUUAAAUUCUCCACCCCCAUCACACUGAAAAAAUUUUAUUUUUCUAUCAAAUUGAUUUUCUACUAAUUUUUGAAAUUUUUGAAAACAAAGAAAAAAUCUGACUUUUUCUUUAAAGGAUAUAACCAAGAAAAUCUUGAAAAAUUAUCUAUAAAUAUAACAUAAAACUAAAAUCCUUGAUUUGAGACAAUGGGAGCUGGUCCCCAAAGAUCACAAUGCACUUUUUGUAAUGGAUAAUCAGACAUAUCAUUAUUUAAAUUAAAGGGUAAUUUACAACUCUUUCCAGAUUGGCAACUAGCACAGAUAGAAGACUUAGUUUGCCAAUUAGUGACAUUAAUGACUUUCUUUCCUUUUAAUAGAGAUAAAAUCUUUGCACUUGGAUGUCCAAGGCGUUGGUGCCACAAAGAGAAUGAGUUGUCCCUUUUUCUUGCAGAUAAAACUUCUUGAAAACUAGGUUCUAAAGCAUAGAGUUGUCCUUGUCUAUGCCCCUUCCCUAUUGUUCUCUUGUUUUGAUCCUUAAUAACAAAAUAAGAUGGUGUGAAUUCAACAGUACAAGAGUUAUCACUAGUGAUUUUACUUACUGAAAUUAAAUUAUUUUUCAGUUUAGGAACGACAAGAACAUCUUUUUAAUUUAAUUCUCAAACACAUGUAUUUCCAGUAUGUGUUAUAUCAAGUUUAUUUUCGUUUCCAACAUAGAUAACAUCCUUUCCUUUACAUGGUUUUGUAUAAGACAACAUACCUGCGUUGUUGGUCAUGUGAGCUGUAGCUCCCAAGUCCAUGUAAAAAGAAAGGGCCAUUGUUGUUUAAGGUGAGAGCUACCAAUGCUUGUGGUAGAUCUUCUGAUUGAUAGGAAUAGUCAAAUCUAUACCAACAAUCAAGAGCAACGUGAUUCAGCUUACCACAUAUUUGACAUGUUGGUUUGUCACUUUUUGGUUGUUGUACAACUUCGUUUGGUCUUCUUUUUCUUGAAGUUAUUGGAAUCAACAUUGUUGUAACGUCCUGCUGGAGUAAAUCCUCUACCUUUUGAAUUAAAACUCCAGCGACGUCCACGUCCACUUCCACGUUGGCUAAAGAGUGCUUGAUUAUAUUCAAUAUAACUAUUCUCUUCUUCCUUUAAGAAGCUAGGGUCUGCUCAUAUCCCUGAAGAGCAAGUAAAAAUUGAUUAAAUUUAGGAUAAGGACGUUUAGUUACCAUAGCUAGAUGGAAGCUUUCAUAUUUUGCUCCUAGUCCAUAUGCAAAUUGAAAGACUUAAUCAAGAUCAUCCACUGGUUUCUUAAUAGCUGCUAGGUUGUCGCAGAUUGAUUUAAAUUCUUUUGUGUAGACAUCUAAGGAUCGUGAUCCUUUCUUGAUGGUCAUCAGCAUAUUUUUCAAAAGACCUUCCUUUUCAAUUGUGAUUGGUAGCAGUUGUUCUUCUAAAGAACUCGACACAUCGUAGGUAGUAGCAUCUUCUGCAAUGGAUGGUUGAGCUUCUUCUUUUAUUGUGCUAAGCAACCAUGAGAUAACAAGACCAUCAUUUGUUAACCAUAAGGUAUAGGCUGGAUUCAUAACCCCAUCUUUUAGCAAACAUUCAGGUUUGUCUUCAUUCUUUUCCAAAUGAUGAAGCACACCGAGACUACGAGCCAGAUGAAGGAUUUGUGAUCGCCAUACGAGAUAGUUAUUGGAGCCUAGUUUAAUUGAAAUCAAACUGGCACAUUGAUGGAAUGAUUGUAAUGUAAGCUUGGGUUCUUCUAUGACUGAUCAAUAAGAAAAUGGAGGAACUGGGCUCUUGAUGCUUGCAAGUUUCAAGGCUUUGAUACCAUGAAAAACUCUUAUAAACUUAAUAUUUUAUUCAAUUUGCUGUUUAUUUUUCCUACAACAGGUCAGACUUAUAUACAAAGAGAAAGGAGAAUUAAAAAGGCAAGAUAGCAAGAUACAAGCUGUAUACUAUAUUAACUCCUUGAUUAUAGGCAUGAAUUUAUGAGAAUGAUUCCUUUGAAUAUUUCCUUGAUUUACUGCAGUGAUAUUUGUAUCUGUUGUCUCUGUGAAAUAUUUUGUUUCCUCAAUUAGCUUUUCUUCCUUAUCAGUCAUCAUAUUGUGUAAAUCCUCGAGUCUUAGGUGAUAAAGUGGAGGUUGAAUUGAAUAUAAGGUAGAAAUCUAGAGUGUUGAAAGUUUUUUGUGUGUUUAUUUUUAGGAAUGCGUACUGCUUAAUACUUAUUAUUAUUCUGCUAAAAGUUACUAAAAAGAUUCUGAGAAUUGCUAAUAGUUGUUAAUUCUAAGCUCAAGGGUUCUUAUUCUAUUUAUAGGAAAAAGCUUAAGAAAUUAUAAAAGCCUUUGAUAUACGUUCUUAACUUUUGUUAAAUAUCCAUAAUUAAAAAAAAUCAAUUUUUAGACUUAUUAGGAGUGUUUAUCCAUAAAUAUUGAAUAAUUUAUUGAAAUCAUUAAAAAUUUGAAUAUUUAUCAAUUAAACAUUUUAGAAGAUGUAUUUUUACAAAUUUUAUCAUUUUAAAUUAAAAAUUUACACAAAUCGACUUCGGGUUUCGAGUUUGGAGCCAAUGAGGACUCUGUGAAUCCAAUCGGCUCUAUACAAAGUAGACUGGCUCUAUGCUAACUCUCGACUCUUUGUACAACCAAUUUCGUUGUAUGUCGAGCUGAUUGGCGCAGGAGUUAAAAGGAUUUAAGGCAUUAAUGCUUUGGUCCCUAAACUUUUAAAAUUUAUAAUUUCACUCCUUAAACUUAAUUUUUCUAUCAAUUUAAUCCAAAUUAAUUUUAGAAAAUAAUUUUUUUGGUUCAAUCAUUUACAAUCUUAAUUGGAAUUAGCCCGAGUUUAACCUUUCGAGACUCGAGAAAAGUAAUACCUUUCAUCAUCAGAUUUUCUAUAAUUUUCUCGAUAUCUAGAUUUGAAGAACGGGUGCUAACAGCUUGACCUCGAUUUUUCGAGAUUUACAAGCAAAAAUAUGAUAAAUAAUUGAGACAAAUCAUAAAUAUUAAGGAUGUGACAAAAAGAAUAUGAUUUGGGGCUGUAGAAGCUAUUUUUUGUAUGCCCUUGUUGGUGUAGACUUUCCAUCUAGCUUCGAUUUGGGUACAACUCCCGUUUAAUUUUAAGCACCGCACCCAUCUAGUUUGAGGAUCAUACCCAUUUGAUUAAGGAUUGCACUUACUUUAUUUAAUGGCUACACCUAUUUUAUUGAAGGACUACACCCGUUUGAUUAAAGGACUACACCUUGUUUGAUUGUAAAGACCUCUUCUUUACUUUUUUAUCAUCUUCUGCUUCUAGAAUCGAUCGAUAAAAUUGAAUUUUCUACUAUUUCCCUUUUUCUGAGUGUUGGACUUGAUCUUAGAUUGAUACCUUCUACUUUGAAAUGCAAUUUGAUUUACUUUUGUCCUCCGAUGAUUAAACCGGUAAUUUGCCCGUCUGGAGACUAAAGUGUAAUUUGAAGAUCAUGGAUCAAAAUGACACUUUUUUCUUGCUUAAGGCUUUUUAAACCUUUCAUAUAAUGAGUAAUUUUAUUUUAAUAUUUGAACAAAAUGGAUUAUGUAUUUUCUAUUUAUAGUUAUAGUGGAAGAUUUACAACUGUAGGUGGCAAUGUGGUUUAUAUGGGGUGACAUCAAGCCUAAAUAUGGUUCGGACUCAUAUAGGAGAGAUUAUCUAGACCUAGUGGAUGAAGUUGAAAAACUGGGUUAUAAUGCUUACAAACUAAGUUGUAAAAUUCCUGGUUUAAGUUUAAAUAAUGGUCUAAGGAAAAUGGUUAAUGAUAAAUAAUUAAUAGACACGGUGCAGUAUGUUAGUAAUAAGGAUGGGGUUAUUCAAUUAUAUGUAGAAGGAGUAGCUACUAGUAAGAAGGGAAAAGAAGAUGGACGUGAUGUAGUUGAAAAUGUAAGGGGCAGUAAUGAAGUGAAUAAGGAUGUUGAUCCUGAAGCUGUUGAACUUAAUCUAGAUGGACCUGAGUAGAAAAUAAGGGUUAAGAUUACAUUGAUGUUAGCAUUGAACAUGAUGAAAAUGAAUAAAAUGAGAAUGUUCAUGCCAGUAAGGAGGAACUAGAUCUUGACUAUUGCCCAGUCUAUUAGAAUGACAUUGAUAAUGGACUAGAAGAUUAUGAACUUUAAGAUGAUAAAGAAAACAUUCAAGCUAGGCAAAAUAAAGUAAAGUACAUGAAAUAUGUAUUGGUUGAUGAAGUUGUUGAUAGAUUACAGAACAACACUGGUUUGCAUUUUAAGAGUACAAUUGUUAAUGAUAAUAGGGUAGGAAAAGAUAGAUAGAACAAUUUGGUUUUAUUAGAGAAUAUGAAGAUUCUGAUAGUGAUGUUAACUUCAUCUGUAGUGAUGAGGAUAAGCUAGAAGAGAGAAUCAAAAGGAGAAAAAUAGUUGUUUAUGAUCCAAGAUGUGAUCCUAAAUUUUUAUAGCUAAAGCUUGGAAUGAGGUGUUGAAGAUGCUCACUUAUAUAAAACUGCAGUGUAGAAAUGGACUAUAAUUAAUGGUCGUAAUGUUUAAGCAACGAGGAGCAACGAGUUUCAACUUGAGAUGAAAUUUCAAAAGAACUACUUAUAGAGACUUUAUGACAAUAUGAUUAAGAGUGAGAAACAUUUGCAAUUAAAUCAUACAUUCAUGACACAAAUGCGAUUGAGAGAUAAAGAACAAGCAAGCUACUUUUGCCUAAGUGGCUAAUGAGUAUAUAUAUAGGUUUAGGGGAAAUGCCAACUAGAGUGUUAAAGAUUUGGAAGAUGAAUUGAUGGAUAAAUUUUAUGUUCAAGUAUAAGGUCUAAGUGUUAUAGGGCAAAAUGGUAAGAAUUGAACAUCCUUAGAGGGUCUAUGCAUGAACAUUAUGCUCAACUGAGAUCCAAUAAAUUUGAGUUGAUAAGGGUUGACAAGGAGGGGAGAUUUGAUUUCCUACUUGAAAAAGAUUGUACCUUCAAAGGUUUUUUCAUUGGAUUUAGUACUCUAAGAAAGGAGUUCUUAAAAGGAUGUAGAGCAAUCAUUGGUUUUGAUGGCUACUUCCUAAAGAUAUAUCUUAAUGGGGCUUUGUAUGUGCCAUAGGCAAAGAUAGGAAUAAUAAAAUAUUCCUUAUUUUUUGCAUUGUGGUAGAAGUUGAAAAUGAGUAUUUUUGGACUUGGCUUUGGCACAUUGUCCUAAAAGAGUUGCAAAUAGGUGAUAGAUUAAGAUAGACCUUCAUAUCUAAUAAAAAAGGUAAAUUUCCUUAUUUUACUUAAAUAUGCCCAUUCAUUCUAUUGUUUAGAAGAGUAGAUAUUAACUUAUGGUUUUACUGUGUUUUCUUAAGAACUUAUUAAUACCAUCAAGUACUUGUCUCCAUUUGCAUAACAUAAAUUAUGUCAGACACAUGUACUACAAUUAAAAGAAAGAAUAAAAAGGACAUGUUCUUUAAAACAUGUUUUAGAGAGCAGCUAAGAGCACUUAUGAAGCUGUAUACAAAGAAGAAAUUGAAGAAAUUACAAGAGAGAAUGAGGUUGCAUAAAAUAAUUUCCUAGAGAGAGACCCUUCUAAAUGGUCUAAGUCAUUUAUUAGUAAACUACCUAAGUAUGAUAUGGUUGAUAACAAUGUAAUUGAGACAUUCAAUAGGUACAUUGUAAAGGCUAGGGAUAACUCAAUUAUUGACAUGUUAGAGAAAAUUAUGUGUGCAUUGAUGCAGAGAAUGUAUAAAAAUUGAUGUAUGUUAGUGAGCAAAUAAAUACAAUGUGCUCUAAGAUUAGAACUAAGUUAAAGGAAAUCAAGUACAAUAGUAGGUUGAAUACUUGUAAACAUGUUGUUGGUGGGAAAUUUCAAGUCAAUAUAGGUGAAGAUCAAUUUUUUGUGGAUUUGAACAAUCACACAUGUAGUUGUAGGACAUGGCAAAUAUACGGUGUUCUAUGCAUGUUCUAGUAUAAACUAGUUGAAUAAGAAUAUUGCAGUAUAUAUAGAUCCUUAAUUUUGAUGCAUAUUCACAUGCUUUGGAGCCACUUAAUGGUAAGAAUAUGUGGCCCCAAGCUGAUGACCUAUAGGUCAAACAACCUACUUUUAAGAAAAUGCCAAGUAGGCCCAUAAAUAAUAAAAGAAGAGGUCCCAUAGAUGAUCCAAAGAAUCCAACAAAGCAGACAAAACUAUGACUUGCAAAAUUUGUGAGGUAGUUGAUCAUAACAAAAGGAGUUGUAAAAUGAGACAAUGAUCCUAUAUUUCAGAUGCUAGUAAAGCUACCAGGAAGUAAGAAAGUGUUUGCUAAUUAUCUCUAUUAUUAAAUAAUGUUCUUAUGUAUACUAUUCAUUUUAAUUACAGGUUAAAAGGGGUAGAUCAAGAAUUAUGAAUUUAGUUGAGGGCUCAAGUGGUAGACAAACUACUACUAAUAUGACACAAAGUAAAAGAAGGAAACCAAUAAAAAAAACAAGUGAUGUUUAGAUGCAUGGAAGUCAAGGUAAUUCUAG
rnacentral:lncRNA from 1 species